CAGUGGCUUCGCAAUAUACAAGCCUACUUAGUGGAGGCGAAAUGGUACCAUGGUAAGUACACGCCAACUCUGGGAGAAUUCUUGGAAAAUGGAUUGGUAUCAAUAGAAGGCCCUAUGGUUACAAUGACUGCAUACCUUUCUUGGACAAAUCCAAUCAUUGAGAAGGAACUAGAAUUUUUAGAAAGUAAUCGAGAUAUAAUUCACUGGUCAUUCAAGAUUCUUCGUCUUCAAGAUGAUUUGGGAACUUCAUCGGUAUUUUUUCUUUUUUCUUUUUUUAACAAGACAGAAAUUGAAUUAAUCCUCUAUAUAUGAAUUGAUUGUAGAUUUUUUUUACCCAAUAAUUCAUCAGGAUGAGAUACAGAGAGGGGAUGUUCCGAAAUCAAUCCAGUGUUACAUGCGCGAAACUGGUGCCUCGGAGGAAGUUGCUCAUGAACACAUCAAGGAUAUGAUGAGACAGAUGUGGAAGAAGGUGAAUGCAUACAGAGCUGAUAAAGAUUCUCCCUUAUCGCAAACUACCGUCUGUACGGAAACGCAGGUUGAGUAAUUACUAAUACUGCGACUUAGAAAUAUAAAUGUGGUGAUAAAUAAAUGCGAAGAAAAUAUGACACAAUAAUUUAGACAAUGCUCAAACUUGAUCGUCGUCACCACCUUAGUCAACAUAUCUGCGGGAUUCUCUGUAGUCUUGAUUUUCUGAAGAAGAAUCUUCCCCUCAUCAACAAUUUCCCGCACAAAGUGAAAUUGUACAUCGAUGUGCUUCGUACGCGCAUGUUAAACUUGAUUUUUUGUUAAAUGAAUAGCACUCUAACUGUCGCAAUACACAUUAAUGUGCUCCUAUGCAAAUCCCAAGUUUUCAAGCAAGCCUUGUAACCAAAUAGCCUCUUCAACAGCCUCUGUAAUUGCCAUGUACUCGGCCUUUAUGGUCGUCAGUGCAACUGUAGAUUGUAGUGUAGACUUCCAACUGAUUGGCCCUCCAGCAAAAGUAAAUACAUACCUGGUGGUUGGCCGUCGUUUGUCCAAAUUACCAGCAUAAUCAGAAUCAACGUACCCGAUCACACAUUGACCAAGUGUAUCGUCUCUCUCAAAUAGUAAACCAACAUCCACAGUCUUCUAAAUGUACCGUAGAAUCCAUUUCACAGCUUGCCAAUGUCCUUUACCAGGAUUAUGCAUAUACCUGCUCACUAUACCAACUGCAUGUGAAAUGUCAGGCCUUGUACACACCAUUGCAUACAUCAAGCUACCCACUGCAUUUGAAUACAGAACUUGUAACAUGUAUUCUCGUUCUGCAUCUGUUGAAGGAGAUAGUUGUGCAGAAAGCUUGAAAUGAUAAGCCAAUGGGGUACUCACAGGUUUUGUCUGCUCAGUCAUGCCAAACUGUUGUAGUACCUUAUUCAAAUAUUGCUCUGAGACAAGCUUACUUUGCCACGAGCUCUAUCUCUACAUAUCUUUAUGCCAAGAAUCUUCUUAACUUCACCUAGAUCUUUCAUUUCAAAUUCUUGAUUGAGUUGAGUCUUCAACUUCUCAAUCUUAUCUUUGCUCUUUGAUGCUAUUAGCAUAUCAUCGACAUACAAUAGCAAAUAAAUGAAAGAUCCUUCUUGUAGCAUGCGAAAAUACACACAAUGAUCAAAUUUAUUUCUUGUGCACCUUCGCCCUUUUAUAAAUCGAUCAAAUCGCUUGUACCACUGCCUUGGAGAUUGUUUCAAUCCAUAAGCGACUUUGUCAAUUUGCAAACUCAAUUUUCUUUUCCAGCAACCUUGAAUCCAUCUGGCUAAGUCACGUAGAUUUCUUUUUCCAAAUCACCAUGUAAAAAUGCAGUUUUUACAUCAAGUUGAACUAGUUCAAGAUCAAAUUGCGCAACCAUGGCUAGCAAAAUUCGAAUAGAUGUUAUGCAAAUUUUAUUGAACUCGUAAGUGCACGAAUCUAUUGUAGUAUAGAUCAAUGGUGACGAGUGUCGAUCCCAUGAGGAGGUGGAUUUUAAUUGUGUGUAGAAUUAAUUUUUUAAAUGGGUGGUUGGAUUUGUGGUGAAAAUGAUUUAGAUUAUCUUAAAAUUCAAAUUAAAAUGGCAAGAAUAAAUUGAAGUGAAAAUAUAUUAAAAUGACGUACUUGGGUAUCUGGAUCUGCAUCAACAUGCCAAUUAAAUCAUGAGGGGGAAUUCACACCUCAUGAACUACACUCUAAUGAAUAUGGUGCUAAGGGCUUAUCGUGCCAAAUAAUAAUAACCUUGUACUAGAGGGGAAGAGAAAAUAAAUUAGAGGGGAAGAGAAAAUAAAUUUACCAAAUAAAGCCCAUGGCACAUGUUGAGACUUCACCUUCAACCCAAGCUUGAAAGAAAAUUAGCUACUCAUAAUUGAACUAGGGGCAAAAUGGGAAUUUAUUAAAAUACGUAGAAAAUAUAAGAUAGAGAGGGAAUUACAGAAAAUGGAGCCCAAAAAUGGAUUCAGAGAUCUAAAAUUAGGGGGGAGAGGUCCCCUUUUUAUAGAUACAUUGAGUAAAUCAUGGCCAUCAGAUUAAAAACAGUUUGGACGCUCAAGAUUGCGCCAUGUCAUCAAUCAACAGUAUGUGGUUUGGCCACGCGUUUUGAACAGUGACAUGGUUUGACCACGUGGUUUGAACAGUCAACCGGUUUGAACAUUGACGCGGUUUGGUUGAAAAUAAUCCUGUGUAUAUGCAUGUAUCAUACGCGUAAUUUUUGGUCCACUAACAUGCUGCCACGUCACCGAUCAAUAGUGCAUAAGAAUUCUCUCCAAUGGAAUCGUGACACCUCAUCAGUCAAUACCACAUCAUCGGUCAAUGCCACGUCAUCGAUCCGUCUAUGUGAAUAGUGUCAUGAACAGUAACGUAGACAAUACCGUACAUGUGAACAAUGACAUUUUUCCUUUUAUGCUCCUCCUAAGGUUUUCGACUGUCCUGAGUUCAAAAGUGAUGUCCGUUUUGCCAUCUGAUUUCUCGUUCAUUGUGAAAUGACCAUGAUGCCCCUAAAAUACAUAAAAUACUUAAUUAAAAUAAAGCACACAUAAUUAAAUUACAAGAAGCUUAAAUACAUAGAAGUAAGGGUGUUAGUAAAACUUGAAGUGUAAAAUGACGAUUUUCGCCUUUAUAAAUAUACAUUUUCUAACACUCAACACCCCCCCCAACCAGCUUAUUGCUAGUCUCUAGCAAAUAUAAUGAAAACAAAAUUCAAAUCCAAAAUGAUUUUUUUUUUUAACAAUCAUGUUUAUUCAAUCAGACUAAUGAUAGUAAUCAAAUAAAAGUAUAAGCAUUAUAUACAGUCUAAAGAAACAUUACACCCACAUCAACCAUCCACAUGAAUUAACCCAGUAGACUUUGUCACAGUUACUUUCAAGAAUGACAUGUUAAACCCCAAAAUCUCACUGGAAAUAGUGACACUCUCACAAAGAAAUUAAACCCAAUAAAAAUAGUCACUCCAAUGAAUGGUAAUUGAGAGAAAAUAAUUAAGAAAUGAUAUCACAUGCUCUCACCAAGAUGAAAGAAAUAUGCCCUUAGCUUAGAAAUAAUACGAUCUCAAGUCAAACAAAAAUACUAGUCAACCCAAUUUAUUUAUUUAUUUUUAUUAUGCACUACUACAUCUUUUUAGCCCAUAUAACUAGCUUCUGCUUCAGACUAUAGUUCCCUAAAAUCAUUAAGGACUUUUAUUAGGACGUAACGUAGGCUAGGGACAUGGCUAACAAAUGAGAAAAAAUAAGGAAAACAAAGUGUAUGUUUGAGAAAAAUGCAGAGAUUUUUUUUUUUAAAGUUGCAAGGUGGAUUUCACCUAUUAUUGUUAUUUAUUUAUUUUUUUAACAACAAUUUUUUUUUUUGCUUUUGUUUGGCACAACUUCACUGAACAAAAUAAUUAUUUACAUUUUUCUCAAACAUAAAUAGGUGAUGGAACUUGUAAGAUAUCGGGUAAUACUUCAAAUCGGAGUGGGUCAAGAUGAUAAGUUUGACAAAGAAAAAGUUUUUUUUUUAAAAGGCUCAAAAGGGUUAAUUAUGGAUAUUUCACAAAAGGGAUGGCUAGAAAGGCUCAAACGGAUCAAAGAUGGCCUUUCCAUCGUCUUUUAGGGCUCUAAAUAAUCUUCCAUAUCUACAGUUAGAUGGGCAUCCAGAUGUAGCAACACACAUUUUUUUCUUCUUUUUUUUUUAAUUUUACAACUUUUUUUUUAAGGGUUAAUUCAAAAGAAAUCUAGAGAUCGUGUAUAAAAUAAUAAACUGUUAAACUGUAUGAAGAAUGGGCAAAAUGGUUACUCUCCAAGAAAAAUGAUAGGCUCAAAAACUCACUUGUUACUUAUUCCGACAUGUUCAUUCCUUCAAGCAACUCAUAUUUAUCUCCGACAUCAACAUGUAGAGUAGCAAACAUGGCAUAACAUCACUUAAGACCAAAGAUAAUACAAAUACUAAAAUUUAAAAUUCAUCAUGUCAUCCAAUGUUAAAACAAAUCACACAAUUUUUUUUUCAAACAACAUUCUACCCCCCAACCUAUUCUAAACAUGAAAGGAAAAUAUGCAUGCAGAAAUGUGAAAAUGAUGCAGAAAAACUAAUUAGAAAAGUUACACUUAAAAUGAUAGAAAAAGAAAAUAGUUUUUUUUUUUUAACUAAGAAGAUGCGUUUCUAGAGGCACUACACUCCAUAUUCAGCUAUCUUCGACUCAAAAAUUUGAAAAUGUAUAUUUAUAAAGGAGAAAUUAAAAAGAAGAAGUAAAAAAAAAUGAAUAUCAAAGCUUAAUAAAGAAAAAGAAAAUGUCUGGAAUUUUUUUUUUUUUAACGAAGAAGAUGUGUUUCUAGAGUAACUACACUCCAUAUUCAGCCAUCUUCAACACAAAAAGUUAGCAACAAUUAGUUUUUACAACAAAAAAUCAGUAAAAACUUAACCAAGAUUCCACAAUUGUCGACUAUUCCCUACCCCCAACCGGAACGAGACAUUGUCCUCAAUGUUUUAAAGGAAAUAAGUAGAGUUUAGAAGACAUCACCUGGGUGGUGCAACAUAGAAGAAAAAUAUUUACGGGCGGAGAGUUAAAUCUAAUUUGUACUUCUUACUGCGGCUACUAUUACCAUCAUUAUUUGGACGCUCCAACACAAAGGUCUAGGGGUCUGGCUCUGGUCUAUAAGCUUGUAACAGAUCAAGUAGCUUAUUAGCAGUGUGAGCACAAAUAAAAAGAUUUUUCGUUGUGGAAGGAAUGAAAUAGUUUUUUAUUGCAUGGUUAAGAAAUACGAUGAAGCCAUCAUAAAAGUUAUUGACAUUUAACAAACCGAUGGGUUUCUGGUGAAUGUGCAGAUGAGCCCAAGAUACUAGUGUGAUAAGUGCCUCUAGUGUUGCAAGAUCUCCUAGAAGGAAAAUAAAAGCAUCAGCCUGAUUAAGCAUUUCAAUUAUUCUUUCUUGCAUAUCUGAGACGACUAACUCUUCUUCAAUCGGUGAGUUAGACAAACUGCCCAAAGAUUUUAGAGCUCUUGGGAUGAUGCCUAGCACUUGACUUCCUCUGAAAAAAGCAGCUUCUGAGACCAAUUUUGAUAACCCUCGGUUACCUCCUCCAUACACCAAGUGUAAUUUUCUCUCUGCUAUGCUUCGACCAAGAUCUAUGGCUGCCUCAACGAACUCUUUAUGUUUGCCAUAGUUAAAUCCAGAAAGCACACAAAUGUUCUUGAAUUGUCUAUUGGGAGUAGCUGCCAUUGGAAUAUUUCUAAAAAAUAAUUUGUGUGUGCUUAACAAAAAGUCAUAUUUAAGAAUCUUGGUGACAAUGGGUCACAACUGUGUAUGAGGUGGCAUGUCAGUGUCAAAUAACGCGUAAAGCACAUGGCUCGCGAGUCAAAAAGGAAACAGUAAAAAGAGAAAGAAACAAUGAUAAAAUAAAAUUAGUAAAGACAAUAAUGCAAAUGAUAAAACAACAGUGAAAUAAAAUAACAGUGAAGUAAAAGGAUAUUUACAGGUAGUUGUGAUUGUGGCUCAAAUCUUCCUUUGGUUUUACGUCUAAAAACGGCUUGAACGCCCUCUAUAGGUCGAGGAUAGGCUUCCCAUCCAGUUUUCUUGUAAACUGGCAAACAAGGUCGUUUAUAGUCAGAUUCUCGAGACUAUAUCGUGCAUGCUCUUUCUGGAAUAAUGGUCAUAACUGGAGAAUUGCUCCUUGUACAUAUCCACUGGGAUGCGUUUCAAGAGACAAAAUGAUAUCAUCCAAUGACUCCUUAUUCAAGCCAUCCCUAAUGAAUUGAAUCUUAUUUUCCCUGUUAUCAGACACCAUUCCUAAAGAACAUGGAUUUUUAUUGCAUCUCAUUCUGGCACAUUUAUGACAAGCAACCGAAAUUCUUCGAGCUCUUCAUUUUCUUGCAUAAUUUCCUUUACCACAACCAGGCAUGUAUGCAAUAAAUUUUAGAGGUAACUCACCUGCCAAUCGUACUUUAGCCUCGAUUAACCAACGGAUGUCAGCAGGUAUGUUAUUCCUCAUGAGCAAUCGCAUGCGUUCAGACCGAGCUUUAUAGAUUGUAAGGACGGCAUUCUGAGGAAGUGAAGGGAAUCGAUUGUGAAGCUUUACUAGAAUCUCGUUUCUGUCCAUACCUUUGCCUCAGAAUAUCAGUUAUUAUGGGAAACUGAAGUAACCGACUUGAUUGUCACGGAGUACCGUUAUCCGCCACUUCACCGGGGUAACAAACUAAAGCACACAAACAAAGAAAAACAAACUAAAACACAUAAAGAAAAUUACAAUUAUCCUCUUAUUGAAUUUACCUCAAGCUCCAACUGGAUAUUGUAGACACUUCUCUCAAUGUCUCUGAGUUGGCUUUUUAAAUCCUCAACAUAGGAUACUAACUCUGGUGGUUGCAGAGCUCAAAUACGAUGUGUUUUCCUAAAUCGAAUCUGCAUUUUGAGAUGAGAUUUUAGACGUUGAAGUGGUUUAAGAAUGUCCAGGAGGAAUUGUUUAGCUAUGGAACUCAUGAUUAACAAUGAUAAGAGAAAACUUAAUGGUUAAACAAACACACUUAUGCAAAAAUAAUUUCAAUUAGCAAAAGAAUAAUAAAAAGAAAGAAAAAAAAUCAAAUCACCGAAAAGAAAGAAAGAAAAAACUCAAUUCAAAUCUGGUGGGUCACUCAAAUUUAUUUCGGUGUCCUCUCCAUGUGGUUGGUACUCUAGAUAUAGCUUUAAUCUUUGACCAUUAACUUUAAACGUGACACCGUUCUUUGGGUCCUUAAUUUCAAUUGCCCCAUAAGGAAAAACAGUAUGAACAAUAAAGGGGUUAGACCAUCGAGAGCGUAACUUACCUGGGAAUAGGUGCAAGCGAGAAUUGAAUAAAAGCACUUUCUGACUUGGAGUGAAAGAUUUUCUCAUAAUUAGCUUGUCAUGGAAGACUUUCAUUCGUUGCUUGUAAAUUUUGGCAUUUUCGUAUGCAUCAUUGCGAAUUUCUUCAAGUUCUAUCAGUUGUAAUCUUCUUUCUGAGCUAGCUUGCUGCAUAUCAAAGUUGAAUUUCUUGAUGGCCCAAUAUGCACGAUGCUCGAGGUCCACAAGUAGGUGGCAAGCUUUUCCAAACACUAGCCUGUAGGGUGACAUCCCAAUCGGGGUCUUGAAAGCCGUUCUAUAUGCCCAUAAUGCAUCAUCAAGUCUUAAUGACCAAUCUUUCCUGUCUGGCCUCACCGUCUUUUCUAAUAUGUGCUUUAUUUCUCGAUUGAAGAUCUCAACUUGGCCACUGGUUUGCGGAUGAUAUGGGGUCGCCACUUUGUGAGUGAUUGAAUACUUUGUCAAAAGAGCUUUGAAUGCUUUGUUACAAAAGUGGGCACCACCAUCACUGAUUAUCGCUCAAGGGAAUCCAAAGCGUGAAACAAUGUUGCUUUUCAAAAAUCCUAUCACCACCUUGUGAUCAUUGGUUCUACAUGAAAUUGCUUCUACCCAUUUCGAUACGUAGUCAACAACAACCAAUAUGUAUUGAUGGCCAAAAGAAGGGGGAAAGGGUCCCAUGAAGUCGAUACCCCAUAUGUCAAAAAUCUCAACCACUAAAAUUGAAUUUAGUGGCAUCAUGUUCCUUCGUGUAAUGCUUCCCAUUCGUUGACACCUAUCACAUGAAGAAUAGAAAGUGUAAGCGUCUCGAAAUAUAGUUGGCCAAUAGAAACCACAUUGUAAAACUUUAGUAGCUAUUUUUUUAGUACUGAAAUGACCUCCACAAGCUUAUUCAUGGAAAAAUGAAAGAAUAUUCUGAAUUUCAUUUUCUGGGACACAUCGUCUAACAAUUUGAUUUGCACAAUACUUGAUCAAAUACGGGUCAUCCCAAAAGAAAUUCUUUAUUUCUGCAAAAAAAAUGGCCUUGUCUUGCUUGGUCCAAUGCUCUGGAAGUUGACCUGUAACAAGAUAAUUCACGAUGUCACCAUACCAUGGUAAUACUUCCACAUUCAUUAAUUGUUCAUCUGGAAAUGACUCAUUCAAUGUUAAUGGUUCUGUAAUUGUGUCAAAAUGGAGACGAGAGAGAUGGUCAGCCACAACAUUUUCUGUGCCUUUCUUAUCUUUAAAUUCCAAGUCAAAUUCUUGCAAAAGUAACACCCAACGAAUUAGUCUAGCUUUUGCAUCUUUCUUUGUGAGAAGAUAUUUAAGAGCAGCAUGAUCUGUGAAUAUAAUUAUUUUAUAACCAAUGAGAUAAGAUUGAAAUUUCUCUAAUGCAAACACUACUGCUAACAUUUUUUUUUCAGUAGUUGAAUAGUUCAACUGUGUAUCAUUCAAUGUCAAACUAGCAUAGUAAAUAACAUGGGAAUUCGAUCAACUCUUUGUCCUAAUACUGCUCUUACUGCAUAAUCAGAUGUAUCACACAUGAGCUCAAAUGGUAAGUUCCAGUUUGGGGGCUGAAUGAUGGGUGAUGAUGUCAACAACUGCUUUAAUUUUUUAAAUGCCACAAUACAUGAAUCUUCAAAGAUAAAAGGUACAUCCUUAGCAAGUAUAUUGCAUAAGGGUCUAGAAACUUUGCUAAAAUCUUUAAUGAAAUGUCGAUAAAAACCAGCAUGCCCAAGGAAAGUCUUACUUCUCUGACUGUUUUAGGUGGAGGAAGAUUGGAAAUGAGAUCCACAUUGGCUUUGUCAGCCUCAAUACCUUUGCUCGAAAUGAUGUGACCGAGAACAAUACCUUGUUUUACCAUAAAAUGACACUUCUCCCAAUUUAAGAUUAAGUUCUUCUCGAUACAUCUCUGCAGAACUAGUGUUAGAUGAUGUAAACAUUGAUCAAACGAGUCACCAAAAAUAGAAAAGUCAUCCAUAAAGACUUCAAAUAAUCUUUCAACCAUAUCAGAAAAAAUGCUUAACAUGCAUCGUUGAAAUGUAGCAGGUGCAUUACAUAAUCCAAAUGACAUCCUCCUAUAUGCAAAAGUGCCAAAAGGUCAAGUGAAAGUGGUCUUCUCUUGAUCUUUUGGUGCUAUGGGAAUCUAAUUAUAUCCUGAGUAGCCAUCUAGAAAGCAAUAAAAUUCAUGACUUGCUAAUAUAUUCAUCAUUUGAUCGAGAAAUGAUAAAGGAAAAUGGUCUUUACGUGUGACAGAAUUCAACUUUCUAUAAUCAAUGCAUACACGCCAUCCUGUAGUCACUCUAGUGGGUAUCAAUUCAUUAUCAGCAUUGGUAACUACUGUGAUUCCUGACUUUUUGGGGACAACUUGUACAUGAUUGACCCAUGAACUAUCAGAAAUUAGGUAAAUGAUACUUGCAUCUGAUAGCUUAAGGACUUCAGUUCUAACAACUCUUUUCAUAUUAGGAUUUAACCGACGUUGCAUUUCCCUAGUAGGUUUAGCAUUUUCAUCAAGGUGAAUGUAAUGCAUGCAGUCUAUUGGGUUUAUACCUUUUAUGUCCGCUAUGGUCCAUCCUAAUACUCCUUUGUGCUCUUUUAAAACAUCCAACAACUUCCCUUUUUGUUCAUCAUUUAGGGAUGAUGAGAUGAUUACCAGUAUAGUGCUUUCUUCUCCCAAAAAUGUAUAUUCCAAAGUGUUGGGUAAUGGUUAAAGCUCGAGUUUCGGUGGUGAUUCUGAUGAUGGGAUGAGUUUUUUCUCUGAUGGUGCUAGUUGUUCAACUCUUGACUUCCAUUUAUUAGUAUCCAUGGAUGCUGCUGAGUCAAGUAGAGCAUUAACCCCAUCGACUGAUCUGUCAAUAUCAAAAUCCAAACCAAAAUGAGUUUAAAAUGUUUGUAAAGGAUCAUCACUAAGGUUUGAAAGAAAAAUAUUAUCAACUAAUGCUUCUAUUAAAUCCACAUCAACAAUUUCAUCAUCUGCAUUGUGAGGUUGUUUGGCAAUGUUGAAGAUGUUUAGCUCCAUAGUCAUGUUGUCAAAGGACAACUGCAUAUUUCUAGUUCUGCAUUGAAUGUGAGCAUCCGCAGUUGCCAAGAAAUGUCGACCUAGAAUAAUGAGGAUGUGCUUCCUUGAAUCCUGUAUUGGUUGAGUGUCAAUUACAAUGAAAUCAACAUGAAAAUAAAAUUUGUCUACCUGGAUAAGCACGUCCUCCACAAUACCACGAGGUAUUUUCGUGGACCGAUCUGCAAGUUGUAACACCAUUGGAGUUGGGUGUAAUUCUCCCAGUCCAAGUUUCACAAAUACUGAAUAAGGCAACAGAUUUACACUAGCUCCUAAAUCCAACAAAGCAUUCUCAAUUGUGUGGUUCCCUAUACUAUAUGAAAUAAUGGGGGAGCCUGGGUCUUUGCAUUUUAGAGAAAUUUUAUGUUGGAGUAUAGAACUAACGUUUUCUGUUAAAAAUGCCUUCUUUUGAACGUGAAUGUUUUUCUUUUUAGUACAAAGGUCUUUAAGAAACUUGGCAUAAGAUGGAACUUAUUUUAUAGCAUCAAGUAAAGGGAUGUUAACACUUACCUGUUUGAAGAUUUCAAGAAUCUCACCUGUGGAUUUUCCCUUCUUUCCUUUAGCUAACCUAUGAGGAAAUGGAGCUUUGGGAACAUAUUCUCGUGGGUUGGUUUCUUAUUUCUCUUCCGAUAGUGAAUCCUCAACAUUCAUAGGUACAAUUUGAUUUUCUUUUGUCACCGGCAUCUCCACUUUGUUAUCGACUUCUUUUCAUUUUUGCAAGGUCAUGACUGCUUUGACCUCUCCAUGCUGUUGUGGUUAACUGGUACUUACUUCAUGCACUCCUUUAGGAUUAGGCACUGGUUGACUUGGAAAUUUACCUUUCUCAACAGUCAUUGCCAAGGUCUGAACUAAAGAAGCAAGUUGUCCCACCAUCUUCUCGAGGCUUGAAAUUGAUUGGGCUUGUGAGUUGAAGCCUGCUCUCAUCUCAUUUCGUAGUCCAUCAAUGGUGCGGUUCUGUUGUUCAAUCGUAGAGUGAGUAACAUUCUUGAAAUUCUGGAAUGCAUCCUCCCAUGGUCUGGGUUGAGAGUAGUUCUGGUUCUGAUUGUAUGGUCUAAAUGGUGGUUGAGAGGCUUGAGGAAUUUGAGGAAUUGGUUGCAUUGGUGGAGCUGGAGCUGCUGGUCCAUUCUAUUGGAAUCCUUGAGACCAUGAAAAAUUGGGGUGGUCUCUCCAUCCAUGGUUAUAUGUAUUGGAGUAUGGGUUGUAAUUUGAUGGUUUUCUCAUUACACCUAUGGCGUUGACUUGAUCGGAGUAUGAGUCAUGGUCAUGUGGCUCCGUUGAUUUAGCAGUCGAUAACGAUGGAAUUUGUCGAGAGAGACUUUCAAUUAUCGCUUUGACUUCUUUAAUUUCUGAACUUGACUCGCCAAUGUGAACCUCAUUCACUCCCUUAAUUCUUCUAGUAUUCCUGAGUGAUCGACUCCGUUGUUGGGAAUUAUCCGCUUGUCGCUGGAAGAAUUCCUAAAUCUCUGAUGUACUUUUUGACAUUAACUCUCCUCCACUUGUUGCCAUUAGCUAUUCUUGAACGUUCGGCAAUAAUCCCUCCAAAACGUAUUGACAUUGGUGUCAUUUCUCGUACCCAUGAUGUGAACACUUCAAGAGUAGCCCAUUGAAUCGCUCCCGUGUUUCGAAAAACUACUCGUCUUCUCUCUGGGUAAACUCUGAGAUUUCCCUGCGAAUAACAUUAGUUUUAUGCACUAGGAAAUUUUUAUUCAAAAAUUUAGUUACCAUUUGUUCCCAUGAUGUAAUGCUAUUAGCAGGCAAAAUAUUUAACCAUGAACGAGCUCUAUCCUUUAGAGAAAAUGGGAAUAAUCUAAGUUUAACAUCAUCUUCUGAAAAAUUCUCAUAUUUAAAAGUUUGACAAACAGCAUGAAAAUCAUUCAGAUGAUUAUAUGGGUCCUCAUUUUCUAAGCCAUAGAAUGUUGGGAGACAAUUUAGCCAUGGCAAGAAUAAAUUGAAGUGAAAAUCUAUUAAAAUGACGUACUUGGGUAUCUGGAUCUACAUCAACAUGCUUCAUGGGCUAAAUAUUCCUUAUUAAUGCCAAUUAAAUCAUGAGGGGGAAUCCACACCUCAUGAACCACACUCUAAUCAAUAUGGUGCUAAGGGCUUAUCGUGCCAAAUAAUAAUAACCUUGUACUAGGGAGCCGGUGAAAUCAGGGUGGUAUCUAGACAAGAUUAUUAUUAUUCGUUGACGAAAAGUCAAAACGUCCACAAAAAUUAGAGAGGAAGAGAAAAUAAAUUUACCAAAUAAAGCUCAUGGCACAUGUUGAGACUUCACCUUCAACCCAAGCAUGAAAGAAAACUAGCUACUCAUAAUUGAACAAGGGGCAAAAUAGAAAUUUAUUAAGAUACGUAGAAAAUACAAGAUAAAGAGAGAAUUACAGAAAAUGGAGCCCAAAAAUGUAUUUAGAGAUCUAAAAUUAGGGGGGAGAGGUCCCCUUUUUAUAGAUACAUUGAGUAAAUCAUGGCCAUCGGAUUAAAAACAGUUUGGACGCUCAGGAUUGCGCCAUAUCAUCAGUCAACAGUACGCGGUUUGACCACGCGGUUUGAACAGUGAAACGGUUUGACCACGCGGUUUGAACAGUGAUGUUGUUUGGUUGAAAAUAACCUUGUGUAUAUGCAUGUAUCGUACGCGCAAUUUUUGGUCCACUAACAUACUGCCACGUCACCGAUCAACUGUCCAUAAGAAUUCUCUCUAAUGGAAUCGUGAAACCUCAUUAGUUAAUACCACAUCAUUGGUCAAUGCCACGUCAUCGAUUCGUCUAUGUGAACAGUGUCGUGAACAGUAAUAUAGACAAUACCGUACAUGUGAAUAGUACAGUACAUGUGAACAGUGACAUUUUUCCUUUUAUGCUCCUCCUAAGGUUUUCGACUGUCCUGAGUUCAAAAGUGAUGUCCGUUUUGCCGUCUGAUUUCUCGUUCAUUGUGAAAUGACCAUGAUGCCCCUAAAAUACAUAAAAUACUUAAUUAAAAUAAAGCACACAUAAUUAAAUCACAAGAAGCUUAAAUACAUAGAAGUAAAGGUAUUAGUAAAACUUGAAGUGUAAAAUGACGAUUUUCUCCUUUAUAAAUAUACAUUUUCUAACACUCAACAAUAGAUGAGUGUUUCACAACUGGAGAAAAUACCUCAUUGUAGUCUAUCCCUUCCUUUUGAGCGUAACCCUUCGCUACCAAUCUAGCCUUGUAUCGAAUUUCAUUUUUACGAGGAAAUCCUUCCUUUUUUGCAUAUACUCAUUUGCACCCAAUUGCCUUUUUUUCCUUGGGUACUGUAACUAACUCCCAAGUUUUAUUUUUGUGAAGAGAUUGUAUUUCUUCAUUCAUUGCUCUCUUCCACUGUAUACUUUCUGGAUUACUUAUUGAUUCUCUGUAAGUGGAAGGAACAUCAUCAUCUACAAUUAGAAGUGCAUAGGCCACCAUAUCAACAAAGCGAGCAGGUCUGCGAAUCUCUCUGCAUGGCCUUCUAUAUGUGUUGGUGAUUUUUUAAUCAAAUGCUAUUAAUGCCAAUGUGCAAGUGUACACAACAAGUAAUAAAGUGAUGAAUAUUCAAGAUCGUCUCCACAGGGAUUGAUGUUACUAGAAUUGCUACAGCAAUCAUAAUAGUGCAAUCUACCUUUAUUCCGAGAUGAACAAAUGUAAAGUUGGUUACUAUUGAAAUUGAUAAUUGUGAGAGAAUAAAAUGAAACAAAGCAGUGAGAAAUAAAUUAAAUAAAAAUGCGUCGAAGAAUCAAAUGAGAAUAAGGUAGUUGAAUGAUCAAACUCUCUUUAUGGGCUGACUGCUUUUCAUCAAUUUAACACCAGUUGCUACAACAAUUUCUAUAGCACUGGGCAUAAUUAUUUUGCAUCCUCGGCUGUCGCAUAUUGGAAUUCUCAUACCCAUAAGUAUCUUAGCAAUGACCAGUUGCUAUUCUACCUACAGCAUGACACUAUGAACAUCCAUUCUCUCCACCCUACAAGGUGAAUACCUAUGUCUAGUUUAUCACAAUUCUUAACUUCAAGUAUGGCCCUUAUGGGAUUCAAGAUAAACUUAAUCCAGGAAACUUAAAUUAAGAUCAAGUAUUACUCUAAUAAUAUCCACUAAGACAUGCCCUUUUGCGGCUCUAUCUUAACUUGAACCAUUAAAUGGUUGGUCAACCGAAAUAACAGUUAUAAUAAUAACUACUAGAGCAAAAUGCUACAGCAAUUAUAUAACAACUCAUAAGAACAAUCAAGAACCCAUUAGAUUGUUUGUCACUCAACUAGAAGCAAGGUUAGUUCAUAUUCUUAAAGAGAAAAACAAACAGCAACAUAUUGGUCACGAAAUGCAUUGGUUUAAUCAAAGAGUGAAGAAAGAAUAAGUGAAGAAUGAUAGAUAGUGAAUCCAAAUAACUCUGCUGGAUUCUUCAAUGAUGCAGCCUCGAUUCCCUUGAAUUUUGAUCUUCUUAUUCUCUUUCUCUCUAAUUUCCCCAAUGAUAAUUCCUUGCCGCUGUUUUAUGUGAUACGCGCCUCUUUUUAUAACUAAAAACUAGGGUAAACAAAGGCCUCGGGCAUACAUGAGUCAAAUUAGAAAACUGUAUAUCGCAAUUCUACAGCUAACCCGCGCUAAGUUUUCUCCCUCGGUGUUCCAAGAUUGCUACAACAAUGGUCGCUCCAGCAACGACUAUAACACUAUACUGUUCCCGGUUGUGUUUCACUUCUUUUGUGGCCAUAUUCUUUCUUCUUCUUACUAGCCUAAUAUCUCAGCAUCCCUUCAUGGAUUAUAAACUUCUGAAAACCUACAAUUAUGCACAUGUUUUGAGCACAAAUUACUUUAAAUCAAGCAAAACUUAUUAAGACUAAACUAAAAUGGAUGUUUAUGCAAAACAUAACCAAAAUAUAAUAAAAACACAUCUUUUACUCUCUAAGUAGUCUUGAUUUAAGUCUAGAAUUGCCGUAAUAACUCUCAUUUCAUAGAGUUAUCACACCCCCAAACUUAAACCGUUACUUGUCCUUAAGUAAUGACAACAUACUAACACUUUACGCACACAAUUAUGCAACACACAACUUAGCUCUGUUAUCAAAUUUGCAAGGAUUCUUCCACCUUCAGAUCACAAUCUCAAUCAUGCCAAAUGCCCAUAGUACAUUAGUUAUAGACUUAAGCUUCCUUCUGUCCAAAGUGUGUGUGUGCUAUUUUAAUUGAAUUCCAGAAAUGCUACAACAUUACCAAGAGAUUGCCUGUAAUUCAGAGGUAGCACCAUUUUAUUCACAUAUAGGGCAACAUAAAUCUCACAUACUCAAACUGUGCUCUAUUCAAGAAUGAAAGCUUAAGAGUACUCAACCCUCUUCACUGCGACAUUUAUUUUUCAUGUGAAUGUCAAUUAAUUGUAAUGAUGACACCCAAUUACUCAAGCCAUACAAAAAUCAGAGUUGUUGUAGCAAUAUCUGUAACAUAAUCUUAUCUAGAGAUGUCUUUUAACUCAAGGCUAAACAUAGGGUUUAUGAACAGACCUGGCUACUCAAUAUCCUAGACAGAGGACUUCCUCUUUUUAUUGUCUCACUUUUUUUUUUUAACAGUCAAUAUAGCAGAUGCUACAACACUGCUCAUAACUCUUGUUGCCUUUGGAUGCAAAUCUGAAUUUGGGGUACAUACUCAACUCUAGUUACUCAGCAACUUGAGCCAUUGGAGCAGAAUUUAUUUCAUAGCAAGCACAGUCCAGCAAAAUUUUCCCCCAAACUUAAGAUAUUUUCUAUUCUUUUGGCUAUGCUACAACAUUCUCAUAAAACUCCACCAAAGUUUAGGUGUCAGGACAGAAUUUCACUCUCCAUCUAUAACUAUCUCUACUCGGCAUUGUGUACUGUUUGCACAAUUCUUGUGGGUUGAGGUGGGAAUUGAAACCUUUUUUCUUCCAGAAUCUUGAGCGGUUCAAUGAACUCUUCAUAUUUUUCUUCCGCGUGGUAACUUUGGAAGCGUGAAGGAUAUUUGAGUCGGCUGGCUAUUCUUUUAUACCUUGGCAUUGCUAUAACAGUAAGAAUUCGAUGGUAAUAUGCUCUUCUCCAAUAGUUGCUGGCAUGUGGCUUGCCUCUGUAUUCUGUCAACAAUACAACCCCAAUUAUUAGUAUGAAAUCCAUUUGUCACACAUAUUUCCCUCGAGAAAUUUAAAAAUAGAUAAAAUCAAUCCUAAGAAAUUAAAAAUAAAGACAUAAAACGACAACAAAAAUAAAGGUUCAAUAAUCUGAAAUAAUGAAAAUAAAAAUAAAUAACAAUAAGUGAAUAACAAAAUUAAAAUGAAAUAAAAAGGAAGAGCCUUCAACAAAACCAGAGAGGGUCAAGCUCAGUUGAAGUGACUGCCCCCGCAAUGGGUUGCCUCCCAUUGAGUGCUUGAUUUAAGGUCUUUCAGUCUGACCUUCUUUGAUUGCUCAAUAGCUUGGUUCUUUAAGGAGUAAGACCUCCUUUGAACAAUCUGCAGCUGAGUGUAUGUAAUGCUUAACUCUGUGCCCAUUGACUUUAAAUUCUUGGCCUGUCUUUUCAUCUAGGAGAUCAACAGUCCCAUGAGGAUAAAUUCUGAGCAGCUUGAAAGGUCCAGACCAUCGAGAUUUUAGUUUUCCUGGAAAUAGUCUUAGCCUUGUAUUAUGGAGCACCACUAGUUGACUAGGGCUUAAUUUCCUGUGUUGGAUAUGCUUGUCAUGCUAGUGUUUUGUCCUCUCUUUAUAGAUUCUUGCAUUUUCAUAUGAGAACAGUCGUAAUUCAUCAAGCUCACAUAGUUGAAGCUUCCUUUGCUCUGCUGCAGCAUGUAUAUCCCAAUUUAAUUGCUUCAGUGCCCAGUAUGCUUUAUGUUCUAGCUCAAGUGGCAAGUGACAAGCCUUCCCAUAAACAAUUCGGUAGGGAGACAUGUGAAGUGGUGUUUUGUAUGUUGUUCUGUAAACCCAUAGGGAGUCAUGUAAACUCAAGGACCAAUCCUUCCUUGAUGGAUUCACCAUUUUUUCUAAGAUCUUCUUAAUCUCUCUAUUGGACACUUCUGCCUGGCCAUUGGAUUGUGGCUGAUAUGCUGUUGCUACUUUGUGCCUGACUCCAUAUUUUACCAUACCUGCAGUAAAUAUUUUGUUGGAAAAAUGAGUACCAUCAUCACUGAUAAUUGCUCUUGGAGUGCCAAACCUGGAAAAAAUAUUUUUCUAAAGAAAGUCCACCACUACUUUAGCAUCAUUGGUAGGUAAUGCUGCAGCUUCUACCCAUUUAGAGACAUAAUCUACAGCAACCAGGAUAUAUAAUUUCCCAAAGGACGGUGGAAAAUGAUGCAUGAAAUCUAUUCCCCUUACAUUAAAAACUUCAACUUCCAGAAUAUUUGUCAAUGGCAUUUCAUGUCUUUGAGUUAUGUUCCCUGUCCUUUGACACAUGUCACACCAUUUAGCAAAUUCAUAAGCAUAUUUCAAAAUAGAAGGCCAGUAAUAACCUGAUUGCAGAACUUUAGCAGUUGUUCUGUGACCACCAAAAUGUCCUUCAUAUGCUGCAACAUGGCAUAAAUCCAGUAUGUGGGGAAUCUCUUCCUCUAAAGCACAUGUUUUGAGCACAAAUUACUUUAAAUCAAGCAAAACUUAUUAAGACUAAACUAAAAUGGAUGUUUAUACAAAACAUAACCAAAAUAUAAUAAAAACACAUCUUUUACUCUCUAAGUGGUCUUGAUUUAAGUCUAGAAUUACCGUAAUAACUCUUAUUUCAUAGAGUUAUCAAUAUGCAAUUGAAUCUUGUUGUUGUGAAGGUUCCUGGGUCAGAACCUCUUCAUCAUCUUCGGUCGAUGAAGAAUCACUAUUCAUCUCAUUGACACCAGCUAGAUCAGAUUUAACCUUUUCAAACUCCACCUGCUGCAAAGUUCCACUGGUCUUGUCAUCCUCUUGAGAAUCUUUUUGUUUCAACAUGGUUGAUUCAUCAAAAGUUACAUCUCUGUUGAAAAUAAUCAUCUUCAUAACAGGACACCAGAGACGGUAUCCUUUUACUCCACCAAUUAUACCCAUGAAUAAUACUUUUUUUGCUCUUGGGUUUAACUUAGAUUCUUUUACAUGAUAAUAAGUAGUGGAACCAAAAACAUGUAAAGAAUUAUAAUCAGUAGCGGGAUUACCAGUCCACAUCUCUAUGAGUGUUUUGCCCUCAAUUGCAGCUGAUGGCAAACAGUUGAUCUAAGUUAGACCCAAGAGUUGAUCUACCAAAACUUUCUCCAGUUGAUCUACCAAAACUCCUUGCCCAAUCCCGCAUUGGACAACAUACACCGAACUUUCUCCAGUAUAGUCCGGUUCAUGCGUUCUACCACCCCAUUCUGUUGUGGUGUAUCUCGAAUAGUGAAGUGUCGUACAAUGCCCUCAUCUUGGCAUAUUUGAAGAAAUGGAUCAUUCUUGUACUCACCACCAUUAUCUAAGCGAAGUCUUUUGACCUUUCGAGUAGUCUGAGCCUCGACCAUUUUGUUCCAUUUUAAAAAUAUGCCUAAAACUUCAUUUUUAUUCUUCAUUAAAUACACCCACACUUUUCUUGAAUAAUCAUCAACAAAAGUAACAAAAUAGUGCAUACCUCCCAAAGAAGCUGUUUUGGUAGGUCCCUACACAUCACUGUGAACAUAGUCCAGAAUUCCUUUUGUAUCGUGAAUUGCUGAAUUAAACUUUACCCUUGUCUGUUUGCCCAGAACAGAAUGUUCACAAAAUUCUAAUUUGCAAGAAUUUAUACCUUUCAAUAAGCCUUGCUUCACCAAAGUCUGCAAAGCUUUUUCACUAGCAUGUCCCAAACGUAUAUACCACAACUUGGUUGCUUCUGAAUUUACAUUGUUUUCCAGAAACUGUUGAUACUGAUCUAAUAACUGUACUUCCUUGGAAAUAGUACAAAUUAUUUCUUCUUGUGUCUUUCAUCACCGUUAUCUCCCUAGCUACUACCUUCAACAAUCCAUCUCUCAAAGCGAUUGUGAGCCCUUUAGAUUCUAGGACUCCUAAUGAGAUGAGAUUUUUCUUCAAACUUGGUAGAUAGCGAACAUCCGUCAAGACUUGGAUUGAGCCAUCAUGAUUCUUUAAUUGGAUUGUACCUAUUCCCAUGGUUUUACAAGCAUUGUCAUUGCCCAUAGAAACAACUCCACCGUCUAGCUCCCUAAAACUAGAAAACUAGGUCUUGUUAGGACACAUAUAAUAACUGCAACCCGAAUCCAAAAUCCAGUCAUCUGAGUGACGUAUCAAUGUCAUGCCAACCAGACUAAAGUCUGACUCCUCAUCAUGCUCUGCUACACACGCAUCAGAAGUAGCCUUGCCCUUUUGUAACUUAGGACAAUUCUUUUUCCAAUGCUCUUUCUCGCGACAAAAAGCACACUCAUCUUUGGCAGACCUCCCUUUAGACUUGCUUCUUUUUCCAGGUUUGCGACUUUGUGAACGGCCUCUCGCUGUCAAUGCUUCUGUAACUGUAUCUCUGUUAUCCUUUCUGUCUUUUUUUCUGGUCUCAGAGUUGUACAAUGCACUGCAUACAACAUUGAAUGUGACAUUGUCCUUCCUAUAAAGCAAAGUAGUGGUGAGAUGAUCAUGUUCAUUAGGAAGGGAAUUCAACAACAACAGUGCCUUAUCCUGAUCUUCAAAUUUCUCAUCCAAAUUUAGUAAAUUUCCCAAUAUUUUGUUGAAUGAGUUCACAUGGUCAUUUAUUGACAUGCCAGGUGUAUAUGUGAAAUGAUAGAGUUUCUUCUUCAUAUAAAGCCUAUUUUCAAGGCUUUUCUUCAUAUACUUUUCUUUCAGUGUCUCCUACAAUUUCUUUGCCAAUGUCUCCCUCAUGACAAAGUAUUUAUGAUCUUUAGCUAAGCAUAGGCGAAUAGUACUACAUGCCUGUCUGUUGAUCUUUAUCCACUCCUUGUCAUCCAUCAUGUCAGGCUUUUCUUCAAGAGCAACGUCCAACUUUUGCUGACACAAGACAUCCAACACCUCACAUUACCAUAUACCAAAAUUAUUGGUACCAUCGAAUUUCUCCACUUCAAACUUUGCAUUAGUCACAGUAGUCAUCGCUGAUGAAGACGACGACGAUGCCUCUGCCAUCCUUUUUAACUCAAAUGAUCAGUUUCGUCAACAACUAUUUACACUUGAAAAAAAACCUCUAUGAUGUUUAUUUCGGGUGAAUAAAUGCACCAAAAAAGUUCCCAGGAGAAUAGCGGGGUCACAACGGUCCCACUUAAAACCCAGACUCCUUAGGCUCUUAUCGCCUUGUUGUCAGAACUUUCCUAUACAUGCAAAAAUACACACUACUUACAAUAGACUAUCUCCCAAGUAUAAAUGGUCGUCUCCACCGUAUCAAUGAACAGUACCGUAUACAUGAACAGUACCAUAUCUGUGACCAGUUCCGUAUACGCGAACAAUGUCGUAUACAUGAACAGUGUCGUAUGCCCCAAGCACGAACCUUUAGCGCUGAUACCAAUUGUUGCGAAAAUGCGGGUUGAGCAAUUACUAAUACUGCGACUUCUUGAGAAAUAUAAAUGUGGUGACAAGAAAAUAUUACACAAUAAUUUACGUGGUUCGGCGUAAUGCCUACGUCCACAGGCAAAGAUUGGAAGAUAAUUUUACUAAUAAUGAGAAUUUACAAAAGUGGGAAAAAACUUACAAAACCCACAACUCCAAUACACCCAAAUGGAACAUCACUAGAACACUCUAGUGGAAGCUCUCUCAAAUUCUCUCAAAGAACUCACUUGCAAUUGCUCUCUACUUCUCUCAAAUUGGGAUGCUUUACAAAUGCAUUCUAGUACUCCUCUAUUUAUAGGCAAAGCUUACAAUAUGAAUGCAUGAAAAAAAAUUUGGCCAUUUUUUAAUUUUAAUGGCUUUGGUGUGACUUUUGAUGAAGAGAUCAUGCUAGCACAUGCAAUUAGAUCACGCUAGCUCAACAUUGGUGUGCUUGAAAUUUGCAUGCUAAGAAUUUGUCUUCAAAUUUGCCUCUCUAAAGUUGAAUGCAUGCAUGUGUAUUUGAAUUCCAAUUUUGAAUUUUUCAACACAGUCGAGUUCAUAUUGAAUGUUGUGAGAGUGUUCCAUUUUAUGUAUCUACAUGGAGAUGGGCAUAGGGCUCAAAACCAAGAGACAAUAGAUGUACUUUUUACAUUGCUUUUUCAACCAAUUCCCUUGGACGACAAACACAUGGUUGCCACAUCAUCACCUGGCACCAAAGGAUGAUGAAUUAUAGUUCAUGAUGCGUUACGAAUCCCCAGAGUGUAGUUUCAGUUGAUGUUGGCCUCAACUUUUCUUUUCAGUUUCUAUUUCUUUCUGAUGAUGAGAUCUCUUUUCGAUGAUUAUAAUAAAUUCCCUCACUCGUCGAGGUUUAUAAAUGAGACAAAAAUGUUAUAUAUGUUACUUUUAUUGAGAGUAAAAGUCGUCAUGAUGUGAGAACCAUUUUCUAGCAAAAGCAUGAGAAUGGCAGAAUGUGUUAUGUAUGCAGUUAUACUUUAUAUACAAACAUGGUUCAAAGCAUGUUAAGGCACAAUAGAUACUCAGUAUACAUGGUGUUGCGGAAACGUGGGUUGAUCAAUUUCUAAUACUGCAACUUCUGGAGAAAUAUAAAUAUGGUGAUAAACAAAUGCAAAGAAAAUAGGACACAAUAAUUUACGUGGUUCGGCGUAAUGCCUACAUCCACGGACAAAAACUGGAAGAUAAUUUUUCACUAACAAAUGGGAAUUUACAAAAGUGGGAAAAACUCACAAAAUCCACAACCCCAAUACACCCAAAUGGAACCUCACUAGAACACUCAAGUAGAAGCUCUCUCAAAUUCUCUCAAAGAACUCACUUGCAAUUGCUCUCUACUUCUCUCAAAUUGGGAUGCUUACAAUUGCAAAAUGCUUCUCUAUUUAUAGAGUGCAUUUUGCUCCAAGUUGGGUUCAAUUGGUCAAAACGUUGAGCUGGAUCUUGUAUUGCAUGCACAAGCUUUUCAACACCUAACUUUGUCUUUUGAAAUUAGCAAGCCGACCAACUUUGUUUUUUUGAAUUUGACAAAUCCACCAACUUUGCCUUUUGAAAUUGGCAACCAAUGAUUUGACUUUUCAACACAUGGCCCAUUUAAAUCGCAUGUGGCAAAUCAUACCCGUGAAAAAUGACAAUUUGCAGCGAACAGUGACAAACGCAACAACAACUAAGGAUAGAAAUCCGAGCUGUGACAUAAAAAGAAAUCACAAGGAUAAAAUAUUAAUAUAACCAAUUAAAAACACGAGUUCCUAGUUUUUAGGUUAGCUUAAAGACACGAGCACCUAAUUAUUCGGUUAGCCUUUUUUAUCUUUUAAUGUCGUAUUCACUUCUACAAUAAAUCUCUAACAAAGUCAUAUGAAUUUAAAGAAUAUAAGUGUAGUCACUGGGUUCAAUCAUAAACGUUUUGUUUUAUAGAAAGCUACUUGUCAUUUUUAGAAGCCUUUCACUAUCCAAUAUUUGAUUCAAGCAACGAUCAAAUUUAACAGCUUUCUUGUUCCUUCAAUUGAUAUACCUACAAAAAUGUCAUCUUAAAUUGCUUUAUUCACAGUAGUAUAAUGAGCAAAAAACGCAUUAUGUAUUUAUAUUAAAAAAUUACGAAAACAUAAAUUUAAAGAGAACUUUAAGAGAAAAAAUAACAAGUAUUAAAUUGACUUGUCUUUUCGAAAAAGAAAUAUAAUUAACAUAAGCAAAAACGUCACAACAGAGCAUAUAUAAUUAAGUAAUUAAAAGAAAAAAAAAAAUGAACCAAACGUACAUUUUAAAUGUCUCGCUCUUUUCCAUGCCCCACUCUUGAGUUUCUUCAUCACUGAAAUUUUGACAAAAAGUUAAAUUAAUAAAAUAGCAUAAUAAUACAGCAUAAUGUGAAUUAUAACUGGACUUUUUGGUUUCUUCAAUUAUAUAUCUGCCAUUGACGAUUGUAUUUUAGUGGAAAGUAUGCAUGGUGAUUACUUAGAGGAGAGUUGUUUAAACCGAAUGAAAGAUUGAGAGAGUCAAAUCAUAUUAAUUAUGGAGACAAAAUAAGAUGAAGUAGAAGAAAAAUAUUGAAUAAUAUAUUAGGGCCCAUUAAUUUUUAGUUUUGCUAUUAAUAAAAGUUACUUUUGUCAAAAUUUUGUAACCCAAUUUUUAUCAGAGUAGUAUUAAAGACACCAUUUUUUAAAAUCAAAAUAGUAUUAAAGAGAUCAUUAGGUAAUGUUAAAAGAUUAAGAAAGAGAUAGUUGAUCCUAUCUCAUAUGUAUAUUGGUGCACUAUUUGAACAAAUUGGACGUUGGUAUUCUAAGGUGUACCGCAAUUUUAUGAAUACAAUAUUUUUUCACUAUAUAUUAGGUUGUUUUCGGGAGCUUCGAUAAAUUGUGGGAUUCAAUUAGAUUUUGAGACUAACAAAAUAAUUUAAUCUAAGGUAUGUUUGGUUGUCAUGGACUAUUAGAGUAGACUUAAAUUUAGCCUACAACUAAUAGGAUUAUUAAUUCUUAUUUUUAUAGGGGUUUAGGUGAGAUAAGAUUAAAUAAAAACUGUGUCCUCUUUAUCACUUUUUUCUUUUUCAUUUAACCUAGUAUUUUAAUAUAAAUUAAAAAUAGAAGUGAAUUUCACGAAUUUUUAACCAAGUAAUUUUAUAUUGUAUAGAAUAUCAGAUUUUUUUAAAAUAAUUUAUUAAAUUAAAUUAACAUAGUUCAGUACGAUAUUGUAUCAAAUAAAAGAUAGUACUAAUAUAAGCUUUUAGGUUAACCACAAAUUUUGUUUCCCUCACGCAAAUGACUAUGCCCACUAUAUCAUGAUUUCAGCAUUCUGCCGGGGUGGGUGUUUUGAAGAGGCAAAUUGGCUGGGUAUUUUGAAGUCAGGUAUGACAAAUAUGAUUUAAAUUGCAUGCUUUAUGCCUACUGCAGAGCUGGUGAUGUUAUGAGGAAAUUAGACGAAUUAGUCUGGAUUACAAUACCCAUCACAUUCUAAUCAAACAUUUCUCCAAUAAGAAGUUUUAUAUGCUUGCUUAUCGGACUAUGAUGGACAAAGGCCACCAGCCUGAGGAGGUAUGAAAGUGGUCAUAGACAAAUGAACUUUUACUUCGGGAUUGCAGCGCGAAAGACUUAUCACAAGUAUUAGGGGUGUUCGCGGAUCGGACAUCAAUCCAUAUCCAAUCCACGAUUUUGCGGAUUAUGAAUUUUCAAUCCAAUCCAAUCCACGGAUUGGUUAAACUCAAUCCAAAUCCAAUCUAUAUGUUUGCGGAUCGGAUGCAGAUUUGACUCAAUCCAUAUCCAAUUCAUCAUUUUGCGGAUUGAUCUGCGGAUUACAAAUUUUUCAUUCCGUCCAAUCCACAAACUAAUAAAAUGAAAAAAAUAAUAUAAAAAUAAUUUUACUACCAAUCAAAUUCAAAAUUGAAUAAGAUUUAAAUAAAUUAAUUAUUUAAAUAAAACUAAAAUAAUGCAUUAAAGUUUUAAAAUACAAUAUACUGAAAUUAAUUGUUCAAAUGAAGCUAAAAUAAUACAUUUAAAGUUUCAAAAUAUAAUACAUUAAAAUUAAUUGUUCAAUUAAAGUUACAAUAAUACAUUUAAAGUAUCAAAUUAUGACACAUCAAAAAGAAAAAUGUUUGCUGCCAAUUUAUAUUUUGUACUUUAACCUGAACUAAAUAAACAUAAUUGAAAUAAAUAACAAAUAAAAUAAUUUUAUUGAAUAAAAAAUUAACAAAUAAAAUAAUUUUGUUCAAAUGACUGCUUGCACAGAGAUCAAGAAUUUGGAGAAGAUGGCCGAAGGAGAAGUUUAAAGCUAGUAAGAAUCUUUGGGUGCUGGUGGCUCUAUACUUGUGACAGGAAAGGAUAGGAAGUCAAGGGUUUUUUGUGUGCUUGUGACGGGAAAGUUUAAGAAGUCAAGGUUUUUUGUUUUCUUGUGGCUCCUUCGGUGAAGUGGCAUUUAGGAUAAAUGUUUUGUUUGGUUUAUAAUUUUUUAUUUUGUUUAAGAAUUUUUACAACUUAUCUUUGUAUAUUUUAAUUAUUUAAUUAUUUAUGUUAUUUUUGAAUAAUGGAUAAGGUAUCUUAUGGUGUUAAUAUAAGUAUGUAAUUACAUUUUACUUACUUAUUUAUUAGUAAUUUUACUUACUUAUUUAUUAGUAAUGUCAUAUUUAUAAUUUUUUUAAUUAAAAAAAUAUUUUUUUGCGGAUUGGCAGAUUUUUGCGGAUUUACAGAAGUGAAUCCAUAUCCAAUCCACCGGUUGCGGAUUUUUAAAUUUUUAAUCCAAUCCAAUCCAAUCCACCAAUCCACCGAUCGAAUUUUUACGGACCGAAUUUUUAUGGAUCGGACGGAUUGAGCAAAUCGGACCGGAUUCUAAACACUCCUAACAAGUAUGCUGUUUUGCAGGAACUCUGCUCCUUAAUUUUUCAUCUUGGUAAAAUGAGAACGACACUUAGAAGCACUCUCUGUUCACAACAUGUUAAUAGGCAGUAAAAGAUCGAUGUGCAAGGCCCUUCAUGAGAAAAUUCUUCAUAUUUUAAUAUCCAGAAAACUUUCCAUAUCAAACCAUUUUAGAUCGAUUCUUCAACUGUCAUUUUUAUACUUUUUUUAAUUGAAAAUACCCAACGGUGGUGGGGUUGGUGGGACCCCCUUACCUAUAGAUUAUUGAAAUAUAAACAAAAUUACGUAUGGAGGGGGAUGCAAACCAAAAUCUCCAAGUAAAGAAACAAAAAUAACCAACUAAUAAAAAAAGAACAAAAACAAUAAUAGAAUAAAUAAGAAGCUAAAGAUAAUUAAUUAAUGCAAACGCCGAUAAAGCUACUUACAAUACUUAUGACCAUUAACUAAUUUGAAACCUUUCUUAAAACUAUAGGAAUGCAGGCCACCAAUACUGAAGUCGGCGUCAAGAUCACGGCCCGCUAUACCCUCAGGCUUAGACGCAUAAUAAUCAUAACUUACAGGAUUUCCGUCACAGCUAAACUCCUCAUCCGACUGAUUAGGGAUAUCUGUAGAAUGGUAAUUAAAACUCACAACCAUGGAAUGAAUAUCAUCCACUGUAGACCUGAAAAAAGUAAAGCCUGUGGAAGCCCUCAGCGCACUCGGAUUAUCCAAAACAGGAGAAUUAGCAACCUCAGUGCAUCCAUCAGCAUCUCUCAAAGCAACAGUAUGUUGCAAACCAUCAUUAUCCGGAACUCACAGAGCAGAAAUCGAUUAGAUGCCCCGUCUGCAGUAUCCUGAGGAAAAAGAGCAGGCAGCCAGGCAACAUCAUCGAGGGGACCAGGCCCAAAGACUGACCUUGGACGAGAGCAGGCCUCUGUAGUCGAUUAUCCUUAGCAACCACAUACGUAGCACCACCCAUAGUAGGCCGGACAACAGCAUCAGUAAUAAGUAUCUUACUUGUAUCAUGAGCAACUAUAUCCUUCACCUGACCAAUAGGUUGUUGGAGCUUCUGGAGCCCAUGAUUAGUAACAAAACAAGCAUCAGCAAAUUGACAAGAUGCUUACACGAAGCACAAUAUAAUAGAACACGCUCAUAGAUGAUAUCUUGCCAAAACCCAUCAUCACUCUUACCAAUCUAAAGUCUUGGCAACAACAGCCAUGAAACAUCACACUCAAUGAGUACACGAGCCACCGAGGGCCUAUUAACAGCAGCAGUAUCACGGUCCACCCGUAAAGGCUUUUCAAUAGCAUUCACAAUAGAAAAUAAAACAUCUUUGCAAUGAAUGAAAUGCACAGGUAAAUAAGGUAAAUAAGGCAAAGACACCUAGACAAGAACAACUGAAACUCCUAAGAGUAUCAAAUAGAUGUAGACUACUUAAAAGUAUGCAUGGACCUGUCACUAAUAUACCAGGUCUGCCUAACCCAAAUACAAGAGUAAUCCUUUCCAAGCUAAAGCUUUAUCAAUUAUCUACUAAAGAAACCUGUGUACUACCUUUCAAACCCAAGAAAUAAAAAAAUUUACGAAUCACAUCUACAGGGGGGCGGCUAAAUAAAAACUUACUAAUAAGGGAAAGUUUGAAUGGUUCUGCCAUGGACUGGAUUUCUGCAGCUGAAAAGUGGAUAGCAUGAUUACCAUGAAAUAUUGAAACUGGCUUUACCCAAAUUGAAGAUUCUAGGGGGCCAGCAAUAGCAUCAACAAAAGACUUAGCAUUGGGGUUGAGGAUAACUCUAGGAUUAUAAUAGAUGCAUAAGAGGCCUUACAGGGUGGGUUGGAUGUACGACCAAGAGUGAGGGGUGGAAAAGGGUCAUGGGUUUGGGCUAGAUUUUUGGUUUAGUUUUGGGUUUGGAAAGCCGGAUGUUGGUUUGGGUUUCUUUGUUAUGGUUAACGUUUUUUGCAUAUGGCAGCUGGUCUCGGUUUUAAACAGCAGCCACCGUUGAGUUGAAGUAUGACGACGAGCGAGGCCUUGGGUGGGUUUGGGUGGGCAAAAGUGGCUGGUAUGAGGCGGCUAGCAGGUUGAUGGUGCCACUAACGGUGGCCAAAAGAGAGACAACGAGGUGUUGGUGAGAUAUAUGGCAGCUAGGGGGAUUUGUCUUGGUAAACUGAGUCACAGAUGGUAGCCAAUAAGUGGUGCCUGAGUUUUGGUUGUGUUCGUGCAUAUCUCUCUGUUAUGUAUUAAAACUCUAAUAUUUUACUACAUACAGCAGUAAACCAAGAAAGGAGGGAAAAAAAAGGAAAGAAAUACAUGGAAAUGAUAAUUUUACCUUUCAUCUUCAAGCUCCAAAGGCUUCGUAUGUAGGUCUUUCACUUGUAAAAGACGGUUUAUUUCUAUGUGCAAGUUAGCAUUUGGUUCAUUAGAAAAUUUGUCAAUAAAGUGUAAUGAAGCCGUAUUAUAGUUGUUACAAGAAUAUUUUUUGGAAAUCCAUGUAUCAUCUUCUCUUUCUCUCCUUGGAUGAGAGAGUAUCGGCAUUCCCUUAUUUUUCUUUUUUCUAAUUGAGUUUGAAUCCCCUUAUUUUAUUUUAUUUUUUUUUAACCGCCAUAUCAGUAAUUUAUUAACAAUUGCAGAGUUAGUGUGACACUUUAUUUGUAACUGCCAUAUCAUAGUCAGUUACUAACCAUUACAGAGCUAUAACAUCACUCGAAAUAGAAAUAUUGAGAUUCCUAAUAGUAUUUAUUCUAAUUAUUAGUUGUUCCUAAUAUUACUAUCGCUAGCUUGCAAUUAAUUCAGCUUAAGUUGUCAUUUUCUUAUAAACAAACAAGAUGGUCCAUCAUGCUUAGUUGUAAGGAUACAAACUAGGGAUGACAAUGGAUCAGGUUAGGCUCGGGCUUCGCUAAGCCCGAGCCUAAGCUUGUAACUGAAAUAAAGGGUUUGAGCUCAAAAAAGUCCGAUCCUUUGAAUUAAAGCCCGAGCCCAACCAUAAUUUUGUUUUGAUAAGGUGAGAUUCAUGGCAAGAGAGAGUGACUGAAACCCACAGCUAUUUCCUUGAUUAGUAUCACUUGUUGCAGUAGAUAUCUCAACAGAAGAAGAAGAAGCAAAUGGAGUUUGCUUAGCCAAGAAUUGAACCCAGCAAUAGAAGCUACAAUCUUUAAAGGAACAUGCUGAUGCUGAUGAAGAAAAUGAGGAUGGUACAUAAUAUCAUCGUGGUUAUGGGUAAAGCUAGGGUUUAAGGUUUGUGUUUGUGGGUGAUGAUGAUGUUGACUGUAGUGGUGGUGGAUGAUUGAAGAUGGGUGGCUCGUCAGAUCUUGAGCAAUGAUUUCUAAGUCAAAGUCUCCAUUAUUAUCAACAUUGAAGCAGCUGCUUGAUGCAAUAUUGACAUUCCAUUAUGUUGGUUUUGGUCAUUAGCAGGGUCAGUUGAUGUAGAGAUUGAGUAACAACAUGACCCUAAGAAAUCUUCAAGCUUUGGACAUGAUCCUCAUGACUUGCCCCACCAUUGGCAAAAAACCCUAUCAUAAUCUACAUAUCAAAUGCAAUUUACAUGACUUACUCCUAAUUAUAUUUCUACAUCGCCAGGUUCGAACACCUAAAUCGUCCCCAUUUUGCCAUAACCUAAAAAAGCUAAAGAUUGAAGCAUUACCUUAGGCUGUGAUAACUGUGCCGCCUUGUGAAUGGCUGUCACAGUUGUGUGAUGGCUGUCGGUGGUGGCGGUGAUGAUGUCUAGGUAUGGGUGAUGGUGGCUGUGAGUUGUGGAUGGCGAAUGGCAAUUUUAACUGCGGAUUGUGGUGGAUCGUGAAUGGCUGAACCUCGGUCGAUGAAAGAAAAGGGAAAAUAUUUGGCAAACAAAACGUUGUGUUUUUUCCUUUAAUGAAACGAUGCGUUUUGAGUUUUUGGAGUUUGACCCAUGGUUUGACCCGAUGCAAAUAUCAUUUUCAAUGUAUUUAUUAUUAUUUUUAUUUUUCAUGAGACUUAUCAAAUUUUGAUUUAAUGGUUAAUAAUUGUUUCAUAUUGCGUCAAAAAAGAGAGGCUCCCCGACAUGCCCUAUACCAACUAGUCUAGUUUUUCAUAAGCAUGUCGCUCAUGAGCUGCACCACAGUGUAAUGCAGCAAAAUCAAGAAAAAAAAAAGUGAAAUAUGCUAUUUCUCUUUUAAGAAAAAUUCUUGAAUACAUAAGAGGUAACAUAAUUAAUUUUUUUUAUAUAAACACCAGUUAUAUAUUAGUUCUUCAAAAUAAAUGUACUUAUACUAUAAAAUUAUUUGUUUAAUAUAUAAAUGACAUAGUACUUUAAAAGAAUUCUAAAAUUUCUCUUGUGCCUCGCUUGUCAUUUUCAACUAUUAGUCAAUGAGAUGGCAUUUUACAUGCAGAUAUGGUGCCCCGCAGAAACUCUUUUGUUUUGAGAUUGAUGAUCCCAAGGAAAUGGCACAAAUAUCACUUCUAAUGAUAUUUUACAGUAAAGUCCAGCUGUACAGGAAUUCUCUUUCGACAAAAGCUUGUUUAUUCCCAAUAUUUUUAGGUUAAUGUCCUUUUAGCCAUUAUAUUUUAAAAAAUUUCUCAAAACAUCCCUACUGUUAAAUUAUUAACACCACUGUUAGGGUUACUUUUUAUUCUCUUUAGCUUACUUUUAUAUAUUACUCUCUUACAAUAAUGUUUAUUUUUUGGACAUAAAUAAAAAAAAUUAGAUUAUCAAUUUAAUCCCAAAAAAUUAAUGUAGAAGACUCUACUAAGUAAAUAUAUUAAUUUUUUUACUGAUGUCCAAAAAAAUUGGUAACUUAAUUUUUUUACAAUAUUAAUUUUUUUGACAUAUGUAAUCUUCUUGGAAAAUUAAUAUAUAUUAUUUUUGUGGUUAAAUUAAUAAUUUAAUUUUUCCUUUUAAUUAAUGUCCAAAAAAAUCAUUGUAAGAGAGAUAAUAUUAUAAAAGUAAGCUAAAAAAAAAUAAUGACAGAUAUGUCAAUUGUUUAACAACCAGGAGUUUUGAGUUAUUUUUAAAAAUAUAAGAAAUCAAAAUAUAAUAAUUAAACGAGUUUCGACACAUUCUUUUUAGUGCUCUAUGACUCUUAUGGAAGUAUAACUUUGAUUAUUAAACACAUGCUUCUACACGUUUUUGUUCACCGUAGGACUGCCAUAAACAAAUAUCGACAUCAUUGAUUAUUAUAAACACAUGCAUUGGCACGUUAGAAUUCCCUCAUAAAAAAAUAUGACUACUUUUUGCAUUCUGGUUUGGUUCAUAGUUCCUAUUUUUUAUCCUUGGCCGCGAGGCUCAUAUUCUUAUGGAUCCUAUAUCCACACACUCUUUUGUUUCCCGUACUUUUGCUAUGCACAUAGGGGGAGAGCCUGAACUAUUAGAUUGUGGUUUAGUUGUUCGUACACCUACCGGAGAGUCAUUACUUGCUGAGAGUGUGUAUCGAGAUUGUAUGAUUGGAAUGGUUGAACAUGAAUUUGAGGCGAAUUUAAUUUCCUUAGACAUUCAUGACUUUGAUGCUAUUUUGGGCAUGGAUUGGCUUGAAUCUCAUUAUGCUACAGUGGAUUGUUUCAAAAAGGAAGUUGUGUUUAAAAAGCCAGGGAGGACUGAGGUGAAAUUCUGUGGGGAGUGCAAAGUUCUACCUUCAUGUGUUAUAUCUGCCAUUAGUGCAAGACGGUUGCUAAGAAAAGGAUGCUCGGCUUAUUUAGCUCAUGUGAUAGAUACAGAAGCUCGAGAAUUGAGAUUGGAGGAUAUUACAGUAGUCAAAGAAUUUCCAGAUGUAUUUCCAGAUGAACUUCCUAGGAUGCCACCUAACAGGGAAGUUGAGUUUUCUAUUGACUUAGUCUCUGAAACAUCUCCUAUAUCUAUGGCACCAUACAGGAUGGCUCCAGUAGAGUUGAAGGAACUGAAGGUUCAAUUGCAAGAGUUGGUGGAGAAACGGUUUAUUAGACCUAGUGUGUCCCUGUGGGGAGCUCCAGUCUUGUUUGUUAAGAAAAAUGAUGGGACUUUUAGACUCUGCAUUGACUAAAGGCAGUUGAACAAAGUUACGGUACGCAAUAAGUAUCCACUUCCGCGUAUUGAUGACUUGCUUGAUCAACUCCAGGGGGCAAAAGUAUUUUCUAAGAUCGAUUUGCGCUCGGGUUACCAUCAGCUUAGAAUUAAAGAUGUUGACGUUCCUAAAACAGCAUUUAGAACCCGUUAUGGGCACUAUGAGUUCUUAGUGAUGCCAUUUGGGUUGACAAAUGCUCCAGCUGCUUUUAUGGAUCUCAUGAAUAGGGUAUUUCGCUCGUACCUGGAUCGGUUUGUGAUUGUAUUUAUUGAUGAUAUCUUGGUGUAUUCCCGAAGCGAGGAGGUGCAUGCAGAGUAUUUGCGGACUAUUUUACAGACUUUGAGAUAGAAGCAGUUGUAUGCCAAGUUCAGCAAGUGCGAGUUCUGGUUGGACAGAGUAGUAUUUUUUGGCCAUGUGAUAUCAGCUGAAGGCAUUUAUGUCGAUCCUCAAAAGAUUAAAGCAGUUGUGCAAUGGGAACGACCUACAAAUGUCAUAGAGGUUCGGAGUUUCCUUGGAUUAGCUAGUUACUAUCGUAGAUUUGUGGAGGGAUUCUCUAAGAUUGCUACUCCUCUGACACGGUUAACGAGAAAGAAUGCUAAAUUCCAGUGGGAUGAUGAUUGUGAAAAGAGUUUUCAAGAACUUAAGACACGUUUGACCUCAGCACCAGUUCUUACACUUCCCUCUGGUAAUAAAGGAUUUGUGGUUUACAACGAUGCCUAUAGGCAGGGAUUGGGUUGUGUGUUGAUACAACAUGGGAAAGUGGUGGCUUAUGCUUCUAGACAACUUAAGAAGCAUGAGCAAAACUACCCAACACAUGACUUAGAGCUAGCAGCAGUGGUGUUCGCACUCAAGACAUGGCGGCAUUACUUAUAUGGGGCAACGUGUCAAAUUUUCACUGAUCAUAAGAGCCUGAAGUAUUUGUUUACUCAGAAGGAGUUGAAUUUGAGACAGAGGAGGUGGAUCGAGCUGAUUAAGGACUACGAUUGCACUAUUGAUUAUCAUCCGGGCAAAACAAAUAUGGUAGCUGAUGCACUAAGUAGAAAGUCUUCCAGCUCUAUAGCUCACUUGCGAGUGAAAUAUAUGCCUCUAUUGAUUGAGUUGAGAUCUUUGGGAAUCGAGUUGAACACUGACAAUUGUGGAGCUUUGAUAGCUAAGUUUCGAGUUAGGCCGACUUUGAUUGACAAAGUUCACCAGAUGCAAGCUCAGGACCCACAGUUAAUGAAGUUGAAAAAGGAUGUGCAAAAAGGUUUACGAACCAAUUUUACGGUGAGAGGCAAUGGAGUCUUAGUCAUGGGUAAUAGACUUUGUGUACCUGAUAUUAAAGAUCUAAAAGAAGAGAUUAUGGAAGAAGCUCAUUGUUCAGCAUAUGCGAUGCAUCCUGGUAGUACGAAGAUGUACUGCACCCUGAGGGAUCAUUAUUGGUGGCAGGGUAUGAAGAGAGAGAUAGCAGAAUUUGUUUCUCGAUGUUUAGUCUGUCAGCAGAUUAAGGCUAAACACCAGAGGCCUGCAGGGUGUUCUCAGCCGCUUCUUAUUCCUGAGUGGAAGUGGGAGCACAUCACCAUGGAUUUUGUAGCAGGACUUCCACGUACUCAGAAAGGACAUGAUAGUGUUUGGGUGGUUGUUGAUUGACUUACAAAAUCUGCUCACUUCUUACUAUUCAAAAUCACAUAUUCGAUGGACAAAUUAGGGAGUAUUUAUGUGGCUGAGAUAGUUCGACUUCAUAGAGUACCUGUGUCCAUAAUCUCAGAUAGAGAUUUUUGGUUUACUUCUAAGUUCUGGACCAGCUUACAAAAUGCUUUAGGCACCAAGUUGAACUUUAGUACAGCUUUUCAUCCACAGACUGAUAGAUAGUUAGAGCGUAAUAUUCAAACUCUGGAAGAUAUGUUGCGAGCUUGUGUUAUGGAGUUUAAAGGUAAUUGGGACAAUCAUUUACCUCUGAUGGAGUUUUCUUACAACAACAACUAUCAAGCUAGUAUUGAGAUGGCACCAUAUGAGGCUUUGUAUGGUAGAAAAUGUAGGACUCCAGUAUGUUGGGAUGAGGUUGGUGAACGGAGCUUAUUCGGUCCAGAACUAAUCCAGGAUACUAAUGAGAAGAUACAAUUGAUCCGGGAUAGAUUAAAAGUGGCCCAAGAUAGACAGAAGAGCUAUGCAGACAAGCGUAGGCGGGAACUUGAAUUCGAAGUUGGUGAUAGAGUUUUCAUACGGAUAUCUCCUUGGAAAGGGGUGCUUCGAUUUAGGAAACGUGGGAAGCUAAGUCCACGUUACAUUGGGCCAUAUGAGAUCAUUGAGCGCAUCGGUCCAUUAGCUUAUCGAUUAGCUCUACCACCCGAGUUAUCCAGAAUCAACGAUGUGUUUCAUGUCUCAAUGCUUCAGAAGUACAUCUAUGACCCGAGUCAUGUGUUAUCGAAGCAACCAAUUCAGUUGAAAGAAGAUUUGACUUACGAAGAUGAACCAGUGGAAGAUAAACACCAAGUUCUGUGUUCUAAGACCAUUCCUCUAGUAAACGUACGGUAGAGGAAUCAUACAAAGGAAUAGGCUACCUGGGAACGCGAGGACUUAAUGCGAGCUCAGUAUCCCUAUCUUUUCUUAUCAGGUACGUAAAUUUCGAGGACAAAAUUUUUAUAAGGGGGGAGGAUUGUAACAUAUGUGAAUUAAAAAUGAAUAAAAAGAGGCGGUUAAGAAGUUAACAAAAGAAGAAGCUGGAAAAUAGAGCAACAUAGAGCCACACGUGUGUGAGAGAGUGAGAGAGAGAAGCUGUCAACCAGACCCGAAAACCUGACCCGGAACCCGCGAACGUGACCUGACCAUAUCUCCCAUUUCCAGCCACUGUUUCGGCCGAGCUUGGUACCAAUUUGAAGCUUAGAAGCCGGCCAUUGUUCCCCUGCCAUCCUCGUUGCCGAAAAGCAACCAGAACGCCGGCGAUCGAAGCUUGGAAACCCAUGACUGUUUCGCUUUGUUCCGCCGGGAUUUUCACCGGUUUUGGGUGACACCACCAGUUGGAUUUUUGUUCCCCGCGACUCCCUCUUCCAUUUUCGACCAUCCACUGCCGCCGGGGACGUCGUUUUGCCGUUGAUCAGCCGUUGAAAGACUUACGGCUUUGGGAGCUCGAUCCGGAGCCAUCGCCGCGCAUGGGAGGUCACCACCACCACCGUUGCACUCAGUGUGGCCAGAACUUUCAGACUUGAGUUUCCCCGCCAGCGUUGACCAAAUUCCAAUGGCUGUUUAUCGGCAAGGGCAUUUCGGUAAUUUCACACUGCGAGGGCAAUUUUGUAAUUUCUGAGCCUGUGGAUAUUUUAGUAAUUCCUAGAAUUGAGCAUUGGGUGUAAUUACGAUUUCGAUGGUAAUUCGGUGAUUUACAAUUUCAAAGUAUUUUAAUAAUUUACGGACUUGAGGGUAUUUUAGUAACUUUAUCGACGCGGGAGUUGUAAAUUAUGGAUAGAUGUUCGUUUUGAUUUUAUUGCAUAAAUUUAGUCUUAAUUCCAAUUUACGGAAAAUAAUUAUGUCGUUUCCUUGAUUUAGGAGGAUCCGCGAGCGAGAACCGGUCUGCGAACAUGGACGAUAACCGAACGUGAACACCGUCACUGUGAGUGGAAUAUACAAAACCUAUUUUCAUAGUUAAUUAUGAUAGUAAUGCAUGUUUGCGAAAUAAGUAUUUUAAAUGUUCUGAUUUAAUGAUUUCUCGAAAUGGAUUUUAUUCACGCAUUGAUAUUAUAUUAAAAUAUUUGGUUAAUGAUUUUGUGUAUCGACUUUGAAUAAAGCAUGAUAGUAUUUUAAAGAUAAGAAAAGUGGAUUCAAAUGUGGUAUGAUUUAAAGUAUGGUUAAAAGGUAUGUGAAUAUAAGUAUAAUGAUUGUUUUUAAAAUCAUUAAACAGUAUCCUUCCCUUCCAGAUACAGUGAUGCAGAUGAUAUGAAAUGAGAGGCCUUUGGGGCCCGUCUGAACACACAGAGGUUUUGGGCCGUGUGUUUGGGCGCUUUUUCCUUUUGGGGGCAUAUGCAUGCGGUAUGAUGAUUACAGAGAUACAUAUAUGAGAUACAGACAGAUAUUGAGAUACAGGCCUUUGGGGCCCGUCUGAGCACACACAGAGGCUUUGGGCCGUGUGCUUGGACGCUUUUGUCCUUUGGGGACUAGAUUACAUGCACAGAUAUGAUGAGAUAUGAGAUGGUAUUUCCCUGUCUAUCCGUGUAGCUCCGGGGCGUGACGGUACCCAGAUAGUUCGUCAUUGCUCGUCCGUUGAGGUCCGGAUAUGAUGAGAUUAUUUCCCUGGGUCCUUGUUUGGUGAUGAUUUUCAUAUUUGUGUAUCCUAUAUGAUAUUGUGAUAUGAUUUCCAUGGUUAUUAAUCUAAUUUAAAUGUUAAAUGAUUUAUUACUGGUUUCUCGCAUAUGAUUUGAUGAAAUCGUGUUUGGAAAUGAUAUGAUUAUCUCUUUUAAAGUAAGAAUUAAUUUUCAAAAACUACUAUCCACUCACUGAUCUCACUGAGUUUUAAACUCACCCCAUUUUUUAUUAUAUCCCCCCCCCUCACCAGGAGGUUGCAGGUACACCAGACCGACCCAGCGAUUGUAAAUAUAUUUUGAUUCUUGGCCACGUGAUGGUGUUAGAAGAUAUAAAUGUUUUUGUUAGGACAUCUUGGUUAUCUCGUCCUGUUGGGAUUGUAUAAUUUUAUUAUAUUAUUCUUUUGGGAUUAAGAAUAAACUGAGAUAUUAAUAUUAGUUAUAAUAUUAUCUUUUGAGACUCUGGAGAUAUAAAACUCAGCAUUUUGGUUGAGGAUGUUAAUCACUGGAUUUUGUUGUAUAUUGAAUUAUACUGGGAGUGUUAUGUUCAUAUUUGUAGAUUGGGAGUGUUAUAUAUAUAAAGGAGACUCUGCUGAAUUUUCGCCAGAAUCCUUACUAAUUAGAUUAUUAUCAAGUCUGUUUUGAUGUGACUAGAUUGACUCGCCCGGGGGGGAUUCAGGGCGGGUCGUUUCAUACAGUUUCCCCUAUCACGCUAUAAGCUACCAUAUCUCUGAUAUGUGUUAAAACUCUAAUAUUUUACUGCAUAGACAGUUAAUCGAAGAAAAAGAAAAGAAGGGGGGGUGGUGGUGUUGGAAAAGAAAGAAAUCAGACAGAUUAAAAAGAUCUAGCAUUGAAGGUGACAAAAUUCUACUAUAAUUGGAAAUUAUGAAUUUACCCUUCAUCUUCAACCUCCCAAGGCUUCCAACGUAGGUCUUUAACUUCCAAAAGACAGUUUAUUGCUACGCGCAGGUAAGCAUUUGGUUCAUGAGAAAAUUUGUCAAUAAAGUGUAAUAAAGCUGUAUUAGAGUUGUUGCAAGAAUGUUGUUGUCUAGAGACCUACCUACCUAUCAUCUUCUCUUUCUCUCCCCUUGGAUGAGAGAGUGAUUGGAUUCACUUAUUAUUAGUAUUUUUUUUCCUUGAUAAGAGUAGCUUGGAUCCGCUUAUUAAUCAGCCUAAAUCUCGAAUUAUAGUCCCAAUUAUUCGUAAAUGCCAGAUCAGGUAAGUUAUUAAUCAUUACCAAAAAAAAAUGAAAUAUUGAGAUCCCUAGUUUUAUUAUUCUAAUUAUUAGUUCUUCCUAUUAUUACUAUCGCUAGCUGGCAAUAAGCUGUCAAUUUCCUAUAAGCAAACAAGACGGUCGUUGAGCGUACUUGUAAGGAUACUGACGCCUCUGUGGUUUAGUAAAGGAACAUGGAGACUCGUCGUAUUUUCAAAAAAGGUAUACAGACCUCAUUUUAGACAAACAAAAGAAGUUUUUUUUAUUUUUAUUUUUUUAAAGGCAAACUUUGGGGUUCAAUGUGAGACGGUGAUUGUUUUUUAACACAAAAGAUAUUUAAAAAAGUACGUCCCGAAUAAUUGCUAUUUGUGGAGGCUCGUCCUACACGUUUACAAGAAAUUGUUAGAACUUGUAGAAAACGACGAAAUCUCUAGUCAUGGAGAGCAUUGCCGUUUAUGGCUCAAUGUCCAAAAUGAAUUUAGUGAUUCAACUGAGAAUGACACUUUAGACUUUUGUAAUUUCAGCAUUUAUUUUUUGAUUUAUUGCUUUCAUCAAUAAUACUGGGAAUUCCAUGCUUUUGACUUUCAAAUGGAGUCUCAAUCAUGUGGUAGGUCGUAAAAACUUUUAUUCUUUUUCUGUAAUAGAUAAUUUGUCUCUCGUACAAUAAUAAAGAUACCAAAAUGUACAUUAUUAGUCACAUAUAUUUCUAUUAUUGAUCAAUAAAAGAUGCUUUACUUGAAUUAGAAGAAAUUAGUGAAUAUUCUAAAAUAAAUAGUGAAGCUAAGUGUUUAGCAACGUAUGAAUUAAAAGAUUUUGAAUUCAUAUUAGGUGUGAUUAUUUAGUUUGAUAUUAUUUGUUGUUAUUAUUUGCUGUAAGUAAGAUCUUGCAAAAAGAAGAUGUGCGUAUUGAUAUUGCCAUAGACCAGCUUAAAGGUUUUUUUAUUUUUCCCUUUGCAAGCCAUAGAGAAAAUGGAUUCACAUCUAUUAUGAUUUCAGCAAAAGAUAUUGCAAGUGAAAUGGAAAUAGAACCUAGAUUUCAUGAGAAAAGUAUAAUUCGCAGAAAAAAAAAAUAAAUUUGAUGAAAAUGUUAGUGAACAGGGAAUUUUGUCUCUUGAAGAGUCUUCUAGAAUUAAUUAUUUUGUAUAGUAGAUCAAGCUAUUUCAUCAAUAAGAAUAGAUUUGAAUAAUUUCAAAUGUAUGAUAAUAUGUUUGGAUUUUUGUUUAAUUUCAAAAAAUUACAAUUGUUAAGUGGCUAUGUUUUAAAAACUUAUUGUGUUAAUCUCAAAAAUGCUUUAAAACAUGAUACACUAUCUGACAUAGAUGGUUUAGAUUUGUCUUAAGAGUUGAGAAUUUUAAACGAAGUUUUUCUAGGUGAAAAAAUACUACUUAAUUAUUUUAAAAAAUUGAUUCUUUCCGAAAUGCAUCUAUUGCUCAUAGAAUAUUGUUAACAAUAUUAGUAGCAGUUGCUUCUGCAAAAAGAAGUUUUUUAAAUUAAAAUUAAUAAAAACUUAUUUAAGAUUAACAAUGUUGCAAGAAAGGUCAACUAAAUUAGCUAUAUUGUUUAUUAAGAAAAAUAUAUUAGCAAAAUUAGAAUAUAAAAAUUUGGUUAAUAAUUUCGAACCUCAAAAAAUUAAAAAAAUUAGCUUUAAAAAAUUAUAAUUUUGCAAAAUUUUAAUAAAAAUAACUGAAUUUAUUUAUUAAAAAUAUAAUUUGCAAAUUUUUAUUAAAAUAAUUGAAUUUAUUUAUUAAAAAAUAAAUCCAAAAAUUUAAAUAAUUUAGGGGAUUUUUAUUAAAUUCAAAAAUUUUGCAAUUAUUUUUAUAAUUAUAUUUUUAUUAAUAUAAUUUUUAGUAAAAAAUAAACACUUUAAUUUUGGAAUAUAUGUUUUAUUAAAUUUAGGGGUAUUUUAUGAUUAUAAUUUUUUUAUUUUUUAAAAUAAAAUGAUCUUUUAAUUUUUUUAGAGGUAAAAUUGUUAUUUCGUUUAAAUUAUUUAACAGUAUUAAUGCAAAAGUGGCUAAUUGAUACAAAUUUAAAAAGAAAGGUGGUGCAGAGAACAUGUUAAAAUUUUGUAGUGGUUGAAUGAACAUAAGACAAAAUAAAGGUGGUGCAAUGAUAAAUUUCUUUUUAAAAAAAAAAUACAAUCUAUAAUGCAAUUUUCUCCUAUAAAAAUUAUAUUGCAUAAGUGAGGCUAAAAAAAAAUAUUAGAUAAAUCAACUUUGUGAAUGCUACCAGUCAGGUUGCAUAAAUAAUGCAAAUGUUGAUCGGUCAACACCAUAAGCCUCCUCUCCUCUUGGCGCCUACCAGAAAACAAGAGAUUAAAUAUGGUAAUGGAAAUUGGAUCUAAAAUUUAGAACAUAAGAAAUUUAUAGCCUUAUCAUGAUUGUGUCUAUAGAAGUUAAAUCAUUGGAAAAACCUAGAUUAUGCCUACACACUCUGUAAUGAACUUAACUUUGUUGAAGCUAUCAUUUUGGAAAACAUGGUUGAACCUAUUUCAAUGUCAUGUUUCAUAAGUAAGAACUUGAGAAAGAGGAAUAAUUAAGCCAACAACAUAUUUGAAAAAUUUACUCUUUUCCCACUAAUUUAAUUCAGGGUCUUCUUAAUUUUCUAAUUAAAAUCUACAUGUCAAAUGCAAUUUACAUGACUUACGCCUAAUUAUAUUUCUACAUCGCCAGGUGCGAACACCUAAAUCGUCCCCAUUUUGCCAUAAUUUAAAAAAGCUAAAGAUUGAAGCAUUACCUUAGGCUGUGAUAACUGUGCUGCCUUGUGAAUGGUUAUCACUGUUGUGUGAUGUCUGUUGGUGGUGGCGGUGACGAUGGCUGGGUAUGGGUGAUGGUGGCUGUGAGUUGUGGAUGGCGAAUGGCAAUUUUAGAUGCGGAUUGCGGUGGAUCGUGAAUGGCUGGACCUCGGUCAAUGAAGGAAAAGAGAAAAUAUUUGGCAAACAAAACGCUGCGUUUUUGCCUGUGCGUUUUGAUUUUUCGAAGUUUGACCCAAGAUUUGACUCAAUGCAAAUAUCAUUUUCAAUGUAUUUAUUAUUAUUUUUAUUUUUCAUGAGACUUAUCAAAUUGUGAUUUAAUGGUUAAUAAUUGUUUCAUAUUGUGUCAAAAAAGAGAGGCUCCCCGAAUAAGCCUCGCACCAACUAGUCGAAGUUUGUAUGCGCAUGUGCUUAUGUAUUGCACACUGAAUCAUUGUGUCAAAAAGGAGAGGCUCUGACUCCCUAACAUGCCCUGUACCAACUAGUCUAAUUUUUCAUAAGCAUGUAGCUCAUGCGCUGCACCACAGUGUAAUGCAGCAAAAUCAAGAAAAAAAAGGUGAAAUAUGCUAUUUCUCUUUUAAGAGAAAUUCUAGAAUAUAUAAAAGGUAAUAUAAUUAAAUUUUUUAUAUAAGCACCAGUUAUAUGUUGGUUCUUCAAACUAAAUGUACUUAUACUAUAAAAUUAUUUAGUUAUUGUAUAAAUGACAUGGUACAUUAAAAGAAUUCUAAAAUUUCUCUUUCUACCCCCUUGUCAUUUUCAACUAUUAGUCAAUGAGAUGGCAUUUUACAUGCUGAUAUGUUGCCUAGCAGAAACUCUUAUGUUUUGAGAUUGAUGAUCCCAAGAAAAUGGCACAAAUAUCUCUUCUAAUGGUAUUUUACAGGUUGUUGACCAAAAGUUGCAUGUGUUUUGGAAGACCAAUGGUAUUUGCAUUUUGUUUGCAAAUUCUAGUAAAGUCCGGCUGUACAAGAAUUCUCUUUGGACAAAAGCUCGUUUAUUUCUAAUAUUUUUAGGCUAAUGUUCUUUUAGUCACUAUAUUUUAAAAAAUUCCUCAAAACAUCCCUAUUGUUAAAUUAUUGACACCAUUGUUAGGGUUACUUUUUAUUCUCUUAUAAUAAUGUUUAUUUUUUGGACAUUAAUAAAAAAAUUAGAUUAUCAAUUUAAUUCCAAAAAAUUAAUGUGGAAGACUCUAAUAAGUUAAUAUAUUAAAAUUUUUACUGAUGUCCAAAAAAAUUGGUAAUUUAAUUUUUUUACAAUAUUAAUUUUUUGACAUACAUAAUCUUCUUGGAAAAUUAAUAUAUAUUAUUUUUAUUUUUAUUUUAUUUUUGCGGUUAAAUUAAUAAUUUAAAUUUUAUUUUUAAUUAAUGUCCAAAAAAAUUAUUGUACGAGAGAUAAUAUUAUAAAAGCAAGCUAAAAAGAAAACAAUUACGACAGAUAUGUCAAUUGUUUAACGACCAAGAAUUUUGAGUUAUUUUUAAAAAUAUAAGAAAUCUAAAUAUAAGAAUUAAACGAGUUUUGACACAUUCUUUUUAGUGCUCUAUGACUCUUAUGGAAGUAUAACUUUGAUUAUUAAACACAUGCUUCUGCACGUCUCAGUUCACCGUAGGACUGCCAUGAACAAAUAUCGACAUCGUUGAUUAUUAUAAACACAUCCAUUGCACGUUAGAAUUCCCUCAUGAAAAAAUAUGACUACUUUUUGCGUUCUGGUUUGGUUCAUAGUUCCUAUUUUUGAUCCUUAAUUUUUAUGACUUCGACAAUUAAUUUCUGUAGUUGAAGUAAUAUUAAAUUGUACUAUAUAUGUACACACACACACACUUGCUUAUUACUGCGGAGGACUUGGGAUGUUUUAUUUGUAUGGAUUAAUCUUAACAUAAUUCUGAAGUGUUUUUAGUUACUGCAAGAAAUUGAACGAAUUAAAUUAAAAAAUUAAAGAAAUAAAUAUAUAGUUUUUAUUUUGCGACAUAUUAUAAUGAAAAAGAUCAUCUACUUGUGUUGGCUUUGUUUAGUUUUAAAAAACUUAUGUCACUUAAAGUCAUCUAUAUUAUUAAUCAUUUAUACUUUCUAUUGUUUUUAUCUUUACAAUCAACCUCCGAAUGCACAUUACUGUAUUGUCAACAUGCUCCAAGAAAAUAAGGUUUAGACAACAUGACUAUAACAACGUGUUAGAGUGUUCAAUCUAUUCAAUUCAUUUGAUCUGUAAAAAUCCCCUCGAUAAAAAUCCAAUCCAUGAAUUGACAGAUUAGAUGGAUUGAAAAAUUUUAAAAUCCACAAUUGAUGAAAUGGAUUGGCUUCUCCAAAUCCCUGAAAAUCAGCAAAUCCGUGUGUGUAUAUAAUUUAAAGAAUUUAAAAUUUAAAAAUGUUAUACUACUAGUAAAUAGGUUAAAAUCUAGUUAGGGUGGACGUUGACAACAAUUAAUUAUAUAAGCUUUCAAAUUUCAACUUUUGUAUUGAUUUAAUUCUAAAAUUUAAGUUGAUUUUCAUCCACUGAUCUAGAAACAUCAGGAUUUUUUAUUUUGGUGUGCUAAAGUUCGAAACUUUGAAUGGCAUCCUUAAAAAACGAAUGGUCUUUCAGUAGCUGUCGUCGUGUGUCAUCACCUCCAACCUAUCCUACACCGAAGCUGAAACCAAUUACUCCAGUGUUUUCAUAGUUUUAUUUAAGAGUGAUUAGGGAGUAAAGCUGAAAUGGUAUAUGGCUUCCGGAUUAUAUUUGUUUCAAAACGUAUGUUGAUUGAUUUAAUAGAUGUUGGGGUGGCGGCAUAAAGACCCUAUUAACAUAGCAUUCCUAAACCCGUAUUUAAACUAUUGAUUUAUUUAGAUCUUGUUUAAAUUUGAAUUUGAUUGGCAUGCAGUAAAAUUAUUUUUAUAAUUAAAAUUUUUAUUUAAUUAUUUUAUGAAUUGAAUAGAAAGAAAUUUUUUUUAAUCCGUAUUGAAUUCGCAAAAGUGGAAUGAAUAUGGAUUAUAUCAAAUCCACUUCUAAUCUGCAGAAUUAUGAAUUGAAUUUAGAUUAAUUUUACUAAUUCAUGGAUUGAAUGGGAUUAAAAAUUUAUAACGAUUUUACACUAGUUGUCAAUUAUUAGAAUUUUUUCACAACGCGCUUUUGUAGAAUGUUGUGAGAUUGAACAUCUAUUGAAGAGUUUUUAACAACAUUCUUUCGCUUGUUGUCAAAUAUUAAAAUUUUUUUACAACACACAUUCACCAACCGCUGUUAAAUGGAAGUUUUUUGAAAUUAUUACAAAUUAUCACAAUCUACAAUAUAUUAAAAUCCAGGGUCCAGCUACAUUACGUCAAGGGUUUGGUACCCCAGUCAUUUGUCCUUUUGCAAAUGACCAUUUAGAUCGUAAAGAAAGGUAAUCAACGGCUGAGGUUUAACACUUAGAAAAUGGGUAACCGGCUAUAGCUACAGUAUCAGUAAAAGGAAAACAAAAAGGAAGUAUAUAAUCCUUUGCUCCAGAAGACUCUAGACUUCGUCAAUGAGCCAAACGGAGACAACCGUUUGCUCCAGAAACUCCCCCUUUUGUACCUCCACGGCGACGCCGUUAUCGCCUCCGUCACCAUCCUCUCCGACGCAAGACUCCGCUCGAAUCCAAACGAAUACGACCACUUCAACAAAAAAUCACAGCCGUUGAAUCUCUCCUCCGAGUUGAAGUUCUUGCUGUUAAUCACCACCGCCACAUCAUCAACGCACGGCGUGAUUUCAGAACCGUUCGUGGAGGCGGCCCUCUUCGUCAGCAUUUGGAUUUCGGAUAGAGACUCAAGGGACGCAGUCGCGAGUUGUAGCAAUGAGCUGUCGUCGAGACUCGGUCGGAUUCUCGCCACCAUUAUGGGAACAAAUGGAGACUCGGUCAGAAAAAUUCCAGCUCGGCAUAAGGGAAUUGUGAAGAUGAAAAAAUUUCAGUUUGGCAGAAGGGACUUGUUUUUCAAAACAAACAAAUGUGCUUUUGGUAUUUAUUUUUGCUGAUGAAGCUUUUUUUUUUUAACAACAUCUGAUGUAGUAGGAAUUCAUAGGGCUAGGAUUAGAAGUUAAAAAUUUCAAAGUGGGUGACAAAGUUGUAGUUGUGCUUGUGAGUGCUAAUUUAUAUAUAUAUAUAUAUUUUCUUAUCCUUUUAUCUUUAAUUUAUUCGGAAUAAAUUUCUAGUCUUCUUUUACUACUAGGAAGAUUGAAAUUAAGGUCAUGGAGAAAUUUGGAUGACCAGGUAUUGAUGAUAGGCAACAAAAUAUCAUUUCUUCCAGUUAAGAGAACCCCCAUUUUAGUUAAUAUGGUUGUGGUUGCAACUAUGAUAAUUAGUAAAAUGUUGAAAACACAUUUCUGUUUUUUACACGGUUCAGGUUCUUGACCAUGCUAGCAACUCUGCUUUCCCUAUAAAAAUUUCUUUUUGUUACUGCAAUCUGGUGAUAUAGUGAAUUGAAUGAAUUUUUGGUACUUUCUUUGUUUCGUGCUUGGGUCAAUCAAUAAAAAUAAUUAUGUGGCAUUCCAAAGAUUUUAGUGUUGUCAGAUCAGAUUCAAAAAGAUAAGGUGUAAACUGCACGAUGUUGCUUUUGUUGGAUGAGGUUAUAGGCAUGUAUAGAGAUACCACCACUAUAAAUCUUUAUUUCCAAGUCAUAUUUGGUUUUUGGUACAUGUAGUUGGAUAUCUGAGAGCCUUCUGUCCUCAUUCAAAGUUCAUACAUCUUUGGCAUGUGAAGGGUUUAGUCUUUUCAUCUACGUGAGCGGAGAGGUGAUGCUGCUCCAUCAGGAUUCAGUCUAAUUUUGUAUAAGCUGAUUUCAUCUGUUCAUUUUGUUUUAGUUUUAAAUUUCCUUAUUGAUGACAGAGUGGAGGCAGACUAGCUGAGUUUGCUAUGGCCAAGGAGAGCUUGACAGUUGCUAGGCCGCAAGAAGUUUUUAAGUUUUUGCAGCUGAAGUUGCUGGCAUACCUUGUGCUGGUCUCUCUGCUCACCAGGCCCUCGCUCAGCUCCUUGGUGUCAACCUAGAUGGAAGUGGCUAGCAGAAAAACAUUAUGAUCACUGCUGCCUCAGGAGGUGUAGGUCUCUGUGUCGUUCAGUUGGCAAAGCUUGGAAACACAGGCAUGAUCUGCUUCAAAUGAGUGUGUGUGCGUGUUUUAAGAAUCAGUAGAUGAAGUCUGCAUGCUGCCUCAACCACCACUAACCGAGGACUUUCAUUUACGCAUCUCGUAUUUAGAUUACAAUAUAGUGUAAGCCAAGAACGUGGCAGUUUUUCUGUAAUUAGUUUGUUGUAUUGAUUACAGAAAGGCACCCUUUCAUAAGAUGUAUUUGGGUGCCUCUGCAUUUUCGACAUGGAAGGCUACUUGUUGGCAUUAUUAUAUCACAUAUUAUAUAUUUUACGCAUCUUCUUUCCCAUGUUGUUCGUUUUUAUAACUGUAAGAUAUAUUCUUUUGUAGAUGUUCUUGGAUCAGCAGUUGGGUUUGCAGUCUUCACAAUUGUUUUACUCUCAUGGGCAUUGACAUUUGCCAUCGGAGGGGAGCAUCUCUUUGGCUCUGCUUGGGAUAAACUAGUAAUGUAUAAUGUUGCUGAGAGAUUAGGUUUGAUAGGUUGGAGAUAGUCAUGAAUCUUAAAACUCAUUUCAAUUGUCCUGUAAAUAGUCUAGUGUUGAAACUUGAAACAACAUACAUUAUGUUGAAGGUAAUAUUGGAGCCAUUUUUCUCAAUUAGUAAAAGAACCUUUCCUGUGGCAGAUUCAUGCUUUUAUCUGAAAAAUAAUGUAUCAUCGCAUAUUUUUUUUAUUAAAAAAAUUAUAAACAUGAGAACUCCUGAACCUUUCUUUCGUAUGUAUUAACUUUGUUCGAUAAAAAAUUGUCUACCUUGAAUUUUGAAAUUUGAAACGGUUGCUUUAUUCUCAUCUGAUACGCUGCAAAAAUGCCUUGAUAAAGGGCAAUGUUAUGUGACCAAGUCAGUGACUCGCAACAUAUUAUUUGGAAAAAUAUGUUCUCUUUUAUUCAUUCAAUUUGAAAACAAAUAAUUUGUGCAAUAUUUAAUUGUGCACAGUUUUUAGUAUUAACAAUUGUUUAUUUACCAACCAAUAAUACUUUUAUUUUGUGCUUACUUGAUAAUUUAUAUUUGUUUUUAUGUAAUAUAUUAUGAUUUAUUUAUUAUGUCUUAACUAUAUUUAAUUACGUGCUUUUUUUUUGUCUAUGAUAUAAAAUAUUAAUUUCACAUUUUUUAAGUCUCCAAACAGAUAAAUGGAUAUUAAUGUUUUUUUGAACAUGUUUGAAAACCUUAACAUUAAUCAAGACUGCCUUAUAAUUGUGCUUCUGUAAAAAAGAUUUACAUUUUUUGUUGACUGGAACUGAUUUUAUGAUUACAUGAGCUUACAAUAGAUAUGAUUGCUUGGGAUAGAUGACAGUUUUGACUCAAUCUCAACUAUUCAUGAUUUAAUGGUCACGAUUGUCCCAUUUGACAAUGGUUGGUGAAGCAAGUUGUAGUGUUCGAAUCUUUGUAUUCCGGUCAACCCAUUCCACACAUUAACCCCGCAAAUCUCAAUCGUUCUUUGAUCGUAUCAGACGCUUCAAAUUAUGCCACGGGUACUGUUGACUUAAAACAAUACCAGCCGUUCACUCUCCGUCUAAUGGUUGUGAGGAAAACAUGCAUGAAGCUUAUGAUGGACCGUAAAUUACUACAUUAUAAAAUUAUUUUUCUAUCAAUAGAGCCUCAAUUUUUUUUUGGGCGUCUCUCUUCUUCUCAAUUUCUCUCAAACUGCUUGUAAUCUUAAUUUUCAGCUGUGUUUUAAUAUUUUCCAUAAUUUUUUAUAAAUAAAUUUUGUUUAAUUUUAUAUUUUAAUGUCAAUUACCAUACACAGUAGUCCAUUAUACAAUCUUAUCCUUCAUCUCAAUUAAGCCUAUAUUCCUUGGUUGGUGAUUUACUAUUUUUAAUUUUAUUGUUAUUAUUAUUACGCUAAUUAUCAUCAUCAUUAUCAUCGUUAUUUUGUUUUAAUAAUAAUAAUAAUAAUAAUAAUAAUAAUAAUAAUCUUCUUAUUCUUCUUCUUCUUAGCGACUCAGCGGCUUGUAUGUUAUAAUUCAUCUAAGUGCCAGCUGGAUUCCUUGCACAAAACACCCAUCCUGCGAAAAACUGUUGAUUAGAAAAUCUGCGAUAGGGUGUUUGGUUCAUCAAGCUCAAGAUAGUUUUCUCUUAGUUUUCUUCGGGUAAAAACUCAUUUAAUCCCUGUAUUUUAAGAUUAGUAUCCAUCUAGUCCCUAUAUUUUUAAAAAUGUCUUGAAACAUCCAUACCAUUAAAGUAUUGAUACCCCUACCAUUACUUUUACCCCUACCGUUACUUUUAUUUCUUUUGACUUGCUUUUACAAUAUUACCCUUUUAUAAUAAUUUUUUUGGACAUUAAUAAAAAGAAAAUAAUUAAAUUACCAAUUUAACCCUAGAAAAUUAAAAAAAUUAUAUUAAUUUUUUUGUAAGCACCAUUUGCACACUUGGUAGUUUGCAUACAAUUUUUUACAAUUAAAAAUUAAUAUAAUGUUUUUUAAAUUUUUAGGGUUAAAUUGGUAAUUUAAUUAUUUUCUUUUUUAUUAAUGUCCAAACAAAAAAGUUCUUAUAAAAGGGUAAUAUUAUAAAAGUAAGCGAAAAGAAAUAAAAAGUAACGGUAUGGGUAUUAAUACUUUAAUGGUAGGGAUGUUUCGAAGUAUUUUAAAAAAUAUAGGAACUAAAUGGAUACUAAUCUUAAAAUAUAGGGACUAAAUGAGCUUUUACCCAUUUUCUUCUUCUUUUAAUUUAUACUUUACCUCAAUUUAGACCGUCAUUUUUCAUUGAUCAAUAUUCAUUUAUUUAUAAUAAUAAUAAUAUUAUUAUUAUUAUCCGGUACAUAUUUUUUCUUCACAUUUUUUUUCCAAUCUAGUUUUCAUUUAUUUUACUCAUGCACAAAUUUUUCAGAAAAAAAUUAAUUAUAUGGUCACUUUACUGUAAAUUAAUAUCACGCCUCUUUCAUGAUUAAAUUUGAUAUUUCCCCUUCCCCCCCCCCCAGGUACGCAAUGCAAUACCUGACCCUACCUUUAAAUCCACUUCCUAAAAUUUUCGUCCCUAUUUUCAAAAAUUUCAAAUCCAUCUUACCCCAACCCAUACUUGCACGCUUCCAAUGUCUUGUUUUUAACCAUUACUUGCAUGCACCCUUUUUCCUUUAUUUGCAUGCGGUACUUAAUCACUUCCAACCCAUUACAGUCGUUCAUUUUUGGUCAAAAAGCGGAUCCCCUGCAGGUUAUCGGGCCAUUACCUUUUUGUCAGGUUACUAGCUACCGUGCUGUGUCUCUUCUUCAGCCAUUAGAUUAAAUCCAACGGUCACUCUGCUACAAGACAAAUGACUUGGGUACCAAACCCCUGAUGCAAAGUAGCUGCGCCCUAAAAUCCAUUAUCUCCAAUCAACUUUUUGUUGAUAAUCAUUUUAAAAUUUAUUAAUUUGUUUUCCGCAAAAGUACUUUAUAACUGUAACAGAUAGAAUUUCGAUGUUAGUGCUCAACAUUAAGAUAUUGUUUGCAACUUUGUAUGCCUUUUUUUUUCCUUAAAUUUACUUUGUAUAUUCUUAUUUCUACAUAAAACAAGAUUUUAAUGUAAUAAAUAGAACUUUUUUUAGUAGAAUUGAAUUUAUGAAUUUCUUGUCAUUUCUGCGUGCAUUUAUUGUGUAGUUUAUUGAAAGACUCUUUAAAAAAUUUGUAUGCAGGAAAAAAAAAGAUAAAUAAAUAAAGAUUAUACAACAUUCAUCGGAAUGUAUGGAUGAUGUAUGUGUCUUCUGGUACAAUAUUGACCUCGUUCGCACAGUAUGAUGUACUCCUUUUUUUUUCCCCCCAAAUGAAUAAAAUACUUUUGUACUAUUAAGACUUAAAAAUUAAACGCUUUCAAAACUCAAAUGAGUACGAAAAGUAAAUCACAUGAACUUCUCCUCUGCCUAUAUAUAUAUAUAACCUCGUACAUCACCACAAACCAUAGAUUAAUUUGAGAAUCUUUGCCAAGUAUAACUGUAAGCUAGCUUACUCUACAUCUAUAUAUCCAAUGUCUUCUUGCAUUAAUGCCUCAACCUUGGUUACCUCUGUAAAUGGUUUCAAAUGUCUUCCUCUUACAACAAAUAAAGCAGCCAUCAGAAUCAUGGCCAAAAAUAAGCCAGUCCAAUGCCUUGUCAGCGCCAAAUAUGAUAAUUUGACAGUUGAUAGGAGAUCAGCAAACUACCAACCUUCAAUUUGGGACCAUGAUUUUUUGCAGUCACUGAAUAGCAAGUAUACGGUAUUGAUUAUUAUUAUUAUUAUUAUUAAUACGUAUUAAUUUCCUUUGUUCAUUUCAAAUUGGGACCAUGAAUAACUAAAAACUAAAUGCUGUGCAUGUAACCGAGCCUGGAUCAGUUGGAGCUGAUUGAUAACUUGCAAAGACUUGGAUUGGCUUAUCGUUUUGAGACUGAGAUUAGGAACAUAUUGCACAAUAUCUACAACAGUAAUAAAGAUUAUGUUUGGAGAAAAGAAAAUCUGUAUGCAACGUCCCUUGAAUUAAGACUACUUAGACAACAUGGCUAUCCUGUUUCUCAAGGUACAUUUAAUUAAUUCGCUUCCUUCUUCAUGCACAUGCAUGAUCUGAAUACUUGAAUCGAUCUCUUUGUUUUUUUUUUUAUUAUUUAAAUGUAAAGAAAUGGACGAAACCCAAAUCAGUUUUAUAACUCUCUAUCUCCUGAGGGUGCCGCCCGCGCCCGGUCGUACUCAUAACCGCAUCAGGUCUCCAAGGUGAACAGCCUCUGGUCGAUGGAACAAUGUAGGCAAGGGAAGUCGGCAAAAUGGAUCCGUAACUUCGGGAAAAGGAUUGGCUCUGAGGGCUGGGCACGGGGGUCCCAGUCCCGAACCCGUCGGCUGUCGGCGGACUGCUCGAAAAGGGCGCCGCUGGGGAUACUUCAAUCAUUCUCUAAUUAAUAUAUGGAUGCAAAAAUUUUGACGAAUGCAACUUUUCUUGGUUGAAUGCUGCAGAGGUUUUCAAUGGUUUUAAAGACGACCAGGGAGGCUUCAUUUAUGAUGAUUUCAAGGGAAUAUUGAGCUUGCACGAAGCCUCGUAUUACAGCUUAGAAGGAGAAAGCAUCAUGGAGGAGGCCUGGCAAUUUACCAGUAAACAUCUUAAAGAAGUGAUGAUCAGGAAGAGCAUGUAUUUGUCGCAGAACAAGCGAAGCGUGCAGUGGAGCUCCCUCUGCAUUGGAAAGUCCCAAUGUUAGGGGCAAGGUGGUUCAUACACGUUUAUGAGAAAAGAGAGGACAAGAACCACCUUUUACUUGAGCUCGCUAAGUUGGAGUUUAACACUUUGCAGGCAAUUUACCAGGAAGAACUUAAAGACAUUUCAGGGUAUCCAUUUGAUUGCAUAACUCAUAUAUAUAUAGACAGACACACACACACACACAUCAAAGAUUUGAUUUUAUAAUUUACAUAACUUGUACAAUUUAAUCACAUGUAUAUUAAAUUAUUCUUAGGUGCAAACUCCGCCUUUUACAGAAGUUUAAAGGCAUGAGCUGUACUUUAUUUUUUUUUUUAUAUUAAUCACGAGGUAUCCUGGGGAGAGCCCCAACUGUGGGAAGCACCUUCGGAGUAUUAAAAAUUCAGUAUGUAAAAUGUUAAUUUCACCUCUCCCGCCGUUCCGUUCCUUUGAUUUAUCCUUUUUAAAUUACGAUGCUUUUGUCUCAAAAAUAAUAAAUUGUAAUUAGCUUUAUUUUCUAUGUCAUGUGCAUCAGUGACUUGGCUUACUACAAGCCUGCUUAGUGGAGGCAAAAUGGUACCAUAGUAAGUACACGCCAACGCUGGGAGAAUUCUUGGAAAAUGGAUUGGUAUCAAUAGGAGGCCCCAUGGGUACAAUGACUGCAUACCUUUCUGGGACAAAUCCAAUCAUUGAGAAGGAACUAGAAUUUUUAGAAAGUAAUCAAGAUAUAAUUCACUGGUCAUUCAAGAUUCUUCGUCUUCAAGAUGAUUUGGGAACUUCAUCGGUAUUU
rnacentral:lncRNA from 1 species